rnacentral:lncRNA from 1 species
GGCCUAUGCUCAGAAGUGCUGUGCUCACCCGCGGAGGGUCGCCGGAGGCGCCGGAUGGCUGGAACAGUGAGUCGACCAAGCUAAACACCCCAGAUUACAACUAUGGCAGCAGCAGCCACCAAGGUUGGGGAGUUUCAGGCUGAUCCGAACGGGAUAAAGGGGAAGGAAGAGGUUGGUCUAGGAGAGGGGGAGCCAGGGCUCGCACCAGCCGGCGGCGAGGUGCCGGAGAGGUGGCUGCGACAACCCAGAAAGCAGCAGCCCGGUCGGGGCAGCACACAAAUGCGCGCGGGGGCGAGGUGGACCGGCGGCUGGGAGCAAGGCCGUAUAAAGAGGGGACCUCGACCAAGAUCCCGCGACGGCGGCGGCGCAGUGACACGGCGUCGCCGGUUCUAACUUGAGGGGAGGGACCACCUCUCUCUAUCUCUCUAUAUACAUAUAUGUAAGGAGAGGAAGAGAAUGAAGUAGGGACAGCGAGAGAGAUCAGGGGAGGUUGCCGGCGAAGGCCGCACUCCGGCGAGCACGGGGAGAGGUGAGGGCGGCGGCUGUGCACAAGGAGAGGGAGAGGGGAUGGUACGGCUAGGGUAUACCCCAGAUUACCUCCCUCCCUCUCCCUCCCUCCCUCCCUCCCUCCCUCCCUCUCUCUCUCUCUAUAUAUAUAUAUAUAGAAUUGUGCUGCUAGCUCUUGGUACUAUUGAGAGAGAGAGUGUGGGCUGGUAUACUUUUGGAAGUACGGAGCCUUCCGUACUUCCAAGUUGUUUUCGAUGUUCGGACUUUCGAAUCGACGAUUGGCUCCAUUAGAGUUGAUCUAGAGUAUUUAAAGUACCUAGAAAAUAAAUUUUGUGAUUUUUCGAUAUCACUUGCCUAGUAAUCGAAGGGGCUCAAAAUCAAUAAUUUUAACGGCCGUGGUGAGACAUUUACAAGUUUAACGGUAUAAAAAUAUCCAAAUCAUAUAAAAUUUUGAUAGAAAAUUCUUUAUACCGUAUAAAACAAGAUCAAUAACUUUAAUCUAAAAUUUUAAUGGCAUAUCAUCAUAUUUUGUAUGAUUUUUAUUUUCAGCCGUUGAUUUUGAGCCACUUCGAUCACUAGGCAAAUGAUAUCGAAAAAUCGCAAANAAAUUAUUGCUUUUGAGCCCCUUCGAUCACUAGGCAAAUGAUAUCGAGAAAUCAUAAAUUUAUUUUCUAAGUAUUUCAAAUACUCUAAAUCAAGUUUAACAGAGCCGAUCUACGAUUCGAAAAUUGCAACAUCGAAAACGACCUGAAAGCAUGGAAGGUUCUGUACUUCCAAAAGCAUAGGAGCCUCACUCAUAUAUAUAUAUAUAUAUAUAUAUAUAUAUAUAUAUAUAUAUAUAUAUAUAUAUAGAACUAGGCUAAUAUAAUAUUAAUAGCACCAAGUCAUUGGUGCUACCAAGUAACACCAAUGGCUUAUAUACAUAUACAUAUAACUAUAUGCUAGUGUAGUGACCCGCGCAAUGCGGCGGAUAAAUAUAUUAUAAUUUUUUAAAAUUUAAACCCUAAAUUUUAGAUCUUAUAUUUCUAUAAGUUAUUUUGUAAAUAGUAGAAUAUAUUUACUUUAAAAGUUUUAGUAAUUUUAAAAUAUAUUGAAAAGUAUGAAGAAUAUUUUUUUUUGAAUAUUCUAAUUUUUAGCACUGAAACAUCACUAUAGGUAUCAAACUACAUUUAUUUCCGAGAAUUUAUAUAGAUGUCUUAUUAUAUAGAUAGUGACGUGUAGGUUUAACCAGAAACAAGAAAAAAUAUAUUUAGCAAAUAAAUUCCAACAUAUCCAUUAGAUUUUGCUAAGUAUGGCAUUAGUUUGCGUAAUAAUUAAUCAUUUUAAAAAUUCUAAACCCUGAUAUAAAUAAAUCCAUCAAAAUUCCUAAUACAAUCAAAUCAUUAUAUAAUGGAGAUAUUUAUAACAUAGUAACCAAAAUAAUAAAAACAAAUAUUAAAAAAAUAUAGUAAUUUUAAAAAAAAUUUACCUUAAAUUGGAAGAGUCGAAUCCAACGUAAUUUAAAAUAUACUAUACGGUAGAAAAAUUUAAGUAAACAAACAAAGCAUCAAAUUCAAAUUAGAGAAGAACCUGAUAAAUAUGGUUAAUCAUUGCAAGUAGAUGCGAACAAUUUCUUGAGACAAAAUAAAUACUUGAGACAAAAUAAAUAGUAUUUAGUAUAUCAUUUCUUAUUCAUCCAAAAUGAGUAUAAGUGCAAUCAUUUAUAUAGACUAUAAAUGAUCUUUCAUAUUCUAAGAUGUCUUUUCAUUUUCUUCUAUUAAUAUAUACGACUCUUUAUAUUCCAAGCUUUUUAAAUAGGAAAAGAAAAAAUUCAAUUAAUUAAAACAAUAAAAAAAUAUUAAUGAAAUUUAUUAAUAUAUAUGACUCUUCAUAUUCCAAGCUUUUUAAAUGAGAAAAAAAAAAUCAAUUAAUUAAAAAAAUAAAAAAAAUAUUAAUGAAAUUUAUUAAUAUAUAUGACUCUUCAUAUUCUAAACUUUUAAAAUGACUUUUCAUUUUCUUCUAUUAAUAUAUAUAUAACUCUUCAUGUUCUAAGCUUUUUAAAUGAGAAAAAAAAUUUAAUUAAAUAAAAAAUUUUGAAAAAUAUUAAUAGGAUCUAUUAAUAUAUAUGGCUCUUCAUAUUCCAAGCUUUUUAAAUAAGAAAAGAAAAAAUUCAAUUAAUUUUAAAAAAAUAAUGGGACCCACACUCUCAAAUUAAGGGAGUUACAUCACAUCAGCUUAAGGAUAUGAAAAUUUAUAGAUUUAUAUAGAUUUAAAAUAAGGAGAAGAACAUGUUUAUGGAAAAGUGAAAAAUCACUAGGUGGGCCCCACGUCAUAAUGAUGGAAGAGGAACCCAUUCAUAGAGAGUGAAAAAUAUAAGGUGGCCCAUGUACCCUAACAUUCAGCUACACAUGCCACGUGGACAAGAAGAUGCUACUGUGGGGAAGGAAUUAAAGCUACUGUGUUUUUUUCCAUGUAAUUUACAUUGGAGAGCACUUUUGGCAGUCAUGGGGUGACAGGAAGAUGCUUGUCACCCAGGAAGAUGCUUUCCAUCUUGGGUAAUCUGCAUUCCUCGUUGCAUCUUGUUUAGUUUCUAUGUUGGGAAAUUGAACAAAUUAGAUUUGAAAAAAACUGGCCCGUGAAGGUUUGCAGAUCAUGAUUACUGGCCCGUGAAGGAUUGCAGAUCAUGGUUAGUUAAUUCACAAAUAAUUCGUGCGAAUUUUUGAAGAAACGAAUUAAACAGUCGUUUCCGCAUUUUUUUGAAAAAUUCAGAAAAAAACACCCAAAAAAACGGCGCUCUUCGUCGCAGACUCCCGGCCCCGGGUCGCAUCGUCGCCGCUCUCGUCGCCGAACUCGUCCCUGUUGUCAUCCUCCUCCUCCUCCGCCGCCCUGGCCGGUGCCGGGAGCAAGAGGGCCGCGGCGGCGGAUCCCGUCUCCCCCGAGGCCGUCCGCAGAAACCAUGUGGAAUAGUGGAAAUAGCGCGGCGUUGGGAGAGCAUUGGUCGCGACUCGCGCACGGUGGCCUCGUGGAACACAUGAGAGGGAAGUCCACAGUGGACCUCCCUCUCAUUAAGAGAAAUAGCACGGCGUUGGCAUCGCAACUCGCGUGCGGUCCACGAGGCCACUUUGGCCUCGUGGACAGCAUGACAUAGAAACUCCCUCUCAUUAAGAGAAAUAGCGUGGCCUUCGCUUCGUGACUCGCGCGCAGUCCGCGAGGCCACUUUGGCCUCGUGGACCGCAUGUGGACCUCCCUCUCAUAAGUCAUUUUAUAUAUAUAUAUAUAGUAGGGCUACUAUACUCGUAUGAGUAUUGGACCCUUCGUACUCAUAAGUUGUUUUCGAUGAUGUGGCUUCCGAAUCGACGAUCCACUCCGUUAAAUAUGAUCUAGAGUAUUUAAAAUUUCUAAAAAAUAAAUUUCGUAAUUUUUCGAAAUCAUAAUAAAGUCCAUCAAACGAGCAUAAAAUGAACGGUCAAAAUCGAACGACGUCUUAAAAAUGGAUGAUCGGAUCCUUCAAUUUAAGAUCGGAGUUAUUGAUCUUUAUUUAGAUAGUGAAUAGAAUUUUCUAUCAAAAAUUCAACCUAUUCCAAUUCUUUACACCAUUAAACUAGUAAAUAUCCCAUACAGGCCGUUAAAAAUUGUUAAUUUUCUGAGCUUUUGAUCGUAAGGUAAAUGAUAUUGAAAAAUUAUGAAAUUUAAUUUCUAGAAGUUGUAAAUGCUCUAGAUAAUGUUUAACGAUAUGGAUCGUCGAUUCGGAAGCUCUAUCAUCGAAAACAACUUAUAAGUACGAGGGCGAUUGCAAUCAUAAACGUAUGUAGCCGGACUCUCUCUCUCUCUCUCUCUCUCUCUCUCUCUCUCUCUCUCUCUCUCUCUCUAUAUAUAUAUAUAUAUAUAUAUAUAUAUAAUUUUAUUUAUAAAUAUAUAUUUAUUUAUUAUAUAUAAUAUUUUAUUUAUAAAUUUGUAAUUAUUUAUUAAUAUUUCUAAAUUUAUAACUCUUAUAUAUUAUUAAUAUAUAUUUAUUAUAAUUUUAAAUAUAUUUAAUCUAUAUAUAAAAAUUAUAAUAAUAAUAGAUAUAGUAUAUUAAUUAUUAUAUAUUUAUUAUAUAGCCAAAUUUUUUAUUCCGAAUUUUUAAUUGAUGAACAUAUAAUAUCCAUAUAAAUCACGUAUCAGAAUAAUUACCGAAUUCGUUUUUUAGCCGUAUUUUUCAACGAAUUUAAAAAUUAAAGGACGAAUUUUACCCGAAUUAUACCCGUACCGAAUUUUUUCCGAAUCCGAAUUAACUAACUAUGUUGCAAAUGACUCUAAUUUUUUCGAAUUAUUAUGGUCGCAGCUGAACUUUUAUGAUUCUCCAAUAAAUACUAUGCGGGGACUGCAACUCUCAUUAUUUCACUAUUUUAUCGUUUUGGUACUUUAAUUCGGUAGGUUCAACUAGAAUAGUACAAGUAGCACAUACGAAAAUAAAUAUAAGCUAUUUUAUAAGAACAUUUACUCGAUUAUAAGUUUUAUUUUUUAAAAGAAUUACGUUAAAGAAAGAUAUAGUUAGAAUUUAUGUUUUUUUCUUUUCAAGUUUUCCAAUAAACGGGAGUAGGUGAUGAAGAAAAGCUACUCGUGUGUUUGUUUUUCCAAGUGAUUUGGAUUAGAGAGUGUUACUUUUGCUUUUUUGGCAGUCAUUCAAUUUGGGGUGGGGUGACAGGGAGAUGCUUUCCCAUAGAGGUAAAAUAUGCAUGCUUCGGUAAUCCUGCAUUCCUGCUCACAUCUCGUCGUGCUUCCAAGCAGGAAAAUUAUACAAACUGUGAAGGACAAAUACUUCAAAUUUCAUGUCGUAGCUUGAAAAAUUAUACAAACUGUGAAGGACGAAUACUUCAAAUUUCAUGUCGUACCCGUAUCGAAUACGUAUUGAAUACCGAUACGCGCCCGAUACGCGUCCGAUACGAAAAUUAAGUAUCCGACAUUUUUUAAAAAUAAAAAAAUAUCGGAUACAGGUUCGAAUACGUGAGGGAUACGGGGGGAUACGGGGGGACACAGCCAGGUUCUUUGUUUGCAGUACAACAAAAUUGCCUUUUAGCGGCAAUUAUCUCAUAAAUUAGCGGCGAUUAUACUUUCUUUACCGGCAAUUGUAAUAAUUAUCACUAUAAAUUGGGUUGGUAAAAAUCUAGCGGCAAUUAUAUUGGCGACCAGUAAAGAGCAAAAUAAUUGCCACUAAAAAUUACUCUAUACCGGUAAUUAUAAAGGCCAGUAAAAGCAAAAUACAUUUGCCCAUAAAAUAUGUAACAUUAAUCACAAAUACCAACAAAGAUAAGAUAAAUAGCCACUAAAUAUAAAAAAACAUUAAAUUAUCAUUAAAAAUCAUAUAUUCAAUUAAUCACUAUAAAAAUUUCGAAGAUAAUGCAUAGACAAUGCAAAUUAAAAAUCCAACAUUUCAUGAAUAUCAAAUAAGCUGAAUAUAAAAGCCUAUUACCACUUCAGCACAAUUUUCCAACUUAAGAAAAUCUAAAAAAGUUAAGAGUAUAAAAUUUCAUUGUAGUCAUUUAAAAAGCAUAAUAUAUUAAGUCAUAUUAAAAUAUCACAUCGUACCAAAUUAGACAGUCAAAAACUUAACUCAUUUCCUUCAAGAACUCAUUCAUUUUGUUAAAACAUGCCACAUUCCAGAUCAUAAAAACUAGCCAAACAAGACUGCUGAGGACCAAAAUGCCAAAUUAAGCCUCGAAUCUCAAUCCUCAGAACAAGAGGUAGUUGUAAUGCCUAGAACCCAGUUGCUUAAUAUCUAUGACAGGAUUAAAAUCUAUGAUGGAAUUUCUAGUCCAAACAUAUCAAAUGGUUGUAUACUGUAUUAUGUGUAAUCAAGCUCAAGCACUACAGAACUAGGUUGUAGUCUUUAUUCUAGUGGAACAACUAUCACACUUUCAAGUAAAGGUAUAUGUUGGUCAAUUACCUGUAGAUCCAAAAGUUUCAAUCGCAUAAAAUUCUCCCUCCUCCGGUUUUGUUUGCUCCCCACCUUUUACAAUUGGAACGGAUUUUCCAGCAUGUAUUUGAUAUGGUCCAAUUCUGUGUCCGUUCAGGUUUCUCACACUUUGAACUGCAAACAAAAUAUACAGACACAAAAGCAGAUAGUGUAUAAUUAGAAAUCAAACAUAUGCAUGCUAAUUCAUGUAUCAAAAGAUAUAGUUUUGAGAACAAAUAGGAUUAUCAUUGACAUACAUUUAGUUAUAAAUUAAUUGAUGUCCCUUCAACAUCUCUCCUGAUACAAAUAGGAUUAUCAUUCUCUGGCUCAAAAGUGUCUUCUAAAUCAACCAAUAUCUGCAGAUUUGUCUCUAUUCCGAAUCCUACAUCAAUUUCAGAAUACACUCUCUCCAUAUCAAAAAUGUCUCUAGGUUUUACUAGCCUAGGAACAAACCAAUUAUUAUCUUUACGAUCUUGAACAUAUUUAUGAAGAAAUGCUGAACAAAUUUACAUUAGGUAGAUCUAAGGUUUUCACUCACUAAUUUCACUGUAUGAAUUGUUUAUGUCUGGCAAUUGAUCAAUUAGAUUUUCAUGCAAAUGUAUGAAGAGAUUUUAGAAUUAGUAGAAAGUGAAUUUAUUUCUUUGAUUUCCUCUAAUUUCUUCAAAAUAAAACUUCAUAAUUUUGGGAAGAACAAAGACUCAUUUUCUACAGUAGCCUGCAAAUUUACCAAACAUCAUCAUGCAAAUGCAUGUAUGAUGCUAUCACGGGCAUAGUUAGUUAAUUCGGAUUCGGCAAAAAUUCGGUACGGGUAUAAUUCGGAUAAAAUUCGUCUUCUAGUUUUUAAAUUCGUUGAAAAAAACGGCUAGAAAACGGAUUCGUCAAUUAUUCGGAUACGUGAUUUAUAGCAUAUUAUUCGUUCACCAAUUAAAAAUUUGGAUCAAAAAUUCGGCUAUUAAAUUAAAUUUUUUCUCUCAAGAUUUAUGCUAUUAGCAUAAAUAUCAUAUUUUUUAAGAAUAUAAGAAUAAAAAUCUACAAAAUAAACUAAUUAAGUAAAAAAUAGUAAACUAUAUUAUGCUCAAAAUAAAAAAUAAUUAAGCAAAUAAGAGAUCAAGAUAUCCAUAUUUAAAUGUAAAAGCUUCCAACUUUUGCUUUGAAGAAUGAAAACUCAAAUAGUACCUGGUCCCAAAGUUAUGUUUCAAAUUAAGUAGAAACCCAGUGGAGUCAAUGGUCCAUGAAAGACCACAACAAAAUUUUCCUUUGCAAGAGUCGACAAAGAUCAUGAAAUUGAUUAGGUAUAAUACAAGAGUUCCUUCCAAAGUUAAUUAAGAUUAUUUAUUUAGCACUAUGUUGGGUCUCUCUUUGUGCAUAACAGGAAUGGACACAUUCAAUUAAGCACUCAGCCACUUGUGAUAAAACAAGUAUACAUCAGAUGACUAAAACCUUCCAACUUUUCUUUGAAGAAUUGAAAAAAACUCAUAUCGUACCUACCUGGGUUUGUAAAGAACCACCGCGGUUACUGAUCUAUCGUGGGAUAGCGAAGCGGGAGAGGAAGCGGAGCGGAAGCGAGAGGAACGGAAGAGGAAGAGGCGACGAGGAGGGUUUCGAUUUCUGAAGAGUGAAGAACCCGAUCUUCGAUCUUCGAUUUCUGAAGAGGAGGGCUUCCGAUGGCGUUCGGCGAGCGGCCGGAAGGGAAGAGGGAGACCGCCGCAGGGGUCGAUGGCAGGGCCGCACCGCCGCAGGAGUGAGAAGUUAGGGCAAACCCUUUUUUUGGGAGGGGUGGGGGUGGGAGCGGGGGAGUCGUCGCCUCGUGUGAGGGGGACGAUGGUUUUCAGAAAUCCUUUCUUUCUUCUUUUUUUUUUUUUUUUUUUUUUUUUUUUUUUUUUUUUGGGCGACAGGUUCUUUUUCCAGUUUUGGGCCACCGCGAGGCCCACAAGUCCGCUCACAGUCGCAAGCAAGAGGGCCGGUUUUUUUGGCCGAAUUAUUCGCGAAUCCCGUUUUAUUCGCGAAUAAUUAUUUUUGCUCAAAAAACCACGAAUUAUUCCGAAUUUUUGGCAAAAAUUCGAAAACGGAUAUUUAAUUCGGCAUUUUAAAAAUUCGCGAAUAAUUCGCGAAUUAACUAUGAUCACGGGUAGUCUGAAAGAUCUUCAUAGCAUCUGUUACUAAUUUUGUUACACAAGGUCAUAGAACAUCACUUCUAACGUCCGGACUAUUUACAAACUAUCAAAAUAAAUACAGCUUCUUUGCAAGGGCAUAUCAGUACUUAAUAAUUAUCAAUUUUACUGCGAAGGUGGUUAUUGAAGAAACACAUCAUAGAUGAACAGAUAUUUGGCUAUAUAGUAGAAAAAUGUUGUCGGUGAACGAAUAUUUGGCUAGUAGUUGCAUGGGGGAACCGUCUUGCAAUAUAAUUUGGUCCACAAGCAAGCCAUCUUAUAUCUUCAGUAAUUCGAUCAUCUGCUGCAUUAUCCAAUUCUUGAACCUAAAACAUUAAAAGUAAAAUUUUGAUUGGCCAAUGUAAAAUAAAAAUAAUUUAUAGUUCAAAAAUAAUUUAUAAGAUAGUAAUUAAUAGUUGAAUAAACAAGACUAAAAUAAGAGCAUUUGGCAAUAGAUGAACUUUUCAGUAGUCACUAUGAGCAUAUAUAGAAAUUUUUGUACUCCAUGACUUUUCUCUCAAAUUUUAACAUUGUUUUAGGGUAUACGGGCAUGCUUAAUUUUAUUGGUAUCCAUGUGCUGAUGUGCAUGCAUAUGUGCAUGCAUGCCCAUGGGAUAUACCUUUAAAAGACAUAUAUAUAUAUAUAUAUAUAUAUAUAUAUAUAUAAAAUUGAGUUAGAAUACUUUUAGAAGUACCAACCCCUUGGUGCUUCUAGAUUUCUAGCCCUUGGAUCUACUUCUUGAUUACUAAUAGCCUUUGGAUCAAACACUAUUUGUAACGACCCAGCCCACUAGCAACAAUAACUCGUUGGGCCCAACCACCGGCCCAAAAUGCUUAAGCCCAGUUAUUAUUACUAGUGUCGAAGUCUCUUAUAAAACCAAUGACAACCCCAUUCCCAUCCAAUGUGGGAUUAUUGGGGUGUGACUCCCCCUGUUAAGGCCCUGACGUCCUCAUCAGUCCAAAAAUACACAACCCAAGAUCACCAGGCGAUGUGAGACUCGUCUCGCUAGCCCGUCAUCCAGAACCUGGCUCAGCCGAGACUCGCCACACAUGUCCAGCUGGUGAACCGGCUCUGAUACCAAAUGAAACGACCCAGCCCACUAGCAAUAAUAACUCAUUGGGCCCAACCACUGGCCCAAAAUGCUUAAGCCCAGUUAUUAUUACUAGUGUCUAAGUCUUUUAUAAACCCAAUGACAACCCCAUUCCCAUCCGAUGUGGGAUUAUUGGGGUGUCACACUAUUCCACCUACCACCACCUACCACCAUCAUCUCAACCUUACAUCUCUCCAUCCAAUAGUUAAAAACUCAAAAGCACCACCUUCAUGGUACUUUUGAGAGUAUUCUAGCUCAACUAUAUAUAUAUAUAUAUAGAGAGAGAGAGAGNGUAAGGAGCUAAGGUCUAGCUAAAAGGUGGCAGCAGAAUUUAAGAAUCAUUUGAAAUUGGUAUCAAAAGUAAAUCAUAUAUAUCCAACUGCGUACAUAUUUAACUAGCUUGGAAAAGUGUUGUUUGGAAAAGUGUUGUAACCUGCUCUGAAGUUUUAGAUGAUCCAAAAAAAAUCGAAAUGUAAAGAUAUAUAUGUUCCGCAAUUUUCAUGAUUAUACAUGCUACUGUAAAGAUACUCGGAAAAGUUGUAGAAUUUGAAUACCCAUAUCAGAUCCGAAUCAGGCUGAUUGAAUAUUGUGAAUUAAAGUUUUCAUGCUAUGUUCAUAACCAAGGCCUGCUAAUAUAUAAUUGAUUUUGGACUUGCAGAAGCUCGGACACAAUGGAAAAUGUCAGUCUCAAACAAAUUGAACCCAUGCGGAUCCAUCGUUUCAUAUGCGGUAAUGCUAAAUCUAUUUCAUAUCCAACGAAGUAUCAACUCGCCCAUUCCAAUUCACAUCCUACAUAGAAGCCCAUAACAAUUUCUUAAUCCUCAAUUCACUUCCUAAAGAUUCUCGGAAAGUAAGUUCUAAUAUUAUCUUACUCCCAAUUUAAUUUCACAACAAAAUUUGCAUAAAGAAUCCACGCAAGGCAUCAUUAAACCGUAAUCAAAAGGAAAAAAAAGCUUAAAAUCUACUAGGGCUUUAAAGAUUGCACUGCCCAAGAGGCCAAUUAACACAGCAAACUUCUUAAAUUUUUGCACGAGAAUCAUCAGCACAAGCCAACGUGAACUCCAUAAAUAAAUUUAGUAAUCUCUACCACACAACUGUAUCAGGAAAACCCCAAUCUAACAAAUCAAAAAAAAAAAAAAAAAAGAAGCAAAAUAAAGGGGGAAAAACAUGAAAACAGCAGAAUCAAUAAAAGGUAAUCGAUGUCAUACCUUGCAAGAAGAGGGAGGUCGUCGGAGCGCCGCCACCGACGCCGCCGCCGGCGCCGCCGCGCUCGUGGAGGAGGAGGCCGAGGGCGACGCCGGCGGCGGCGGAUCUCCUUGAAGCACGCGGGGCCGAGAAGAUCGGGGGCGAAAGCGAGGGCGAUUUGGGGAGAAGGGGGAGAGCUCGAGCUCGGAUGGGGGAACAGGGGAGGGAGAUCGGAGAGAGGGGAAGGGGAGAGAGAGAAAUAAACACCAAAUAUUGCAAAGGCGAGGAAAUGAAACACCAAAAGAUUAUGGAUCCAAAGUUCUAUAAUAAAGUAAGUACAUAUUGGUGGAUCUAAUGCUCAAAUUUAUUUCUCUUUUUGUCUUCUAGUAAAGCUGCUUUCAUCAUUUGAUUAAUAAAAAAACUUAAAAAAGGUGAAGGGCCUUAAACUUAAUUCUUCCGAUACUCCAAUAUAUCUAUGUAGUACAUAUAUUUACCAUAAUUCAUACUCAAAGUUAUCACCUUUAACACAUAGAAGCAAAAGGGGUAGUUCAGUAUCAUGCAACAAAGUAAUACUGAUCAAUAGUUUUAUCAUUUUUAUUUGUGAUCAUCUAAAUAAUGGAGAAUAAUAUAAAGUGUGUGUUAUUUUAGAGAAAUUCAAAAAAAUCAAAUAAUAAUUUAUUGUUUUUUUCCUAUUUUCUUGCUUACCACCUAUCAUUAGAGAUAUAUAUAGCUGAAAAAGUUUAUAACUUGAGAAGAGAGAAACAAGUUAGUUUAGAAAUGUUAAAUAUAUUAUUUCUAAACUUAUUGUAUAUUAUAUUAAUCUUUUAGAUAAUAUGCUAUCAAAUUCAAGUCAAAGAUCCUGCAAUUUAUGUGUAUUCUUAUUUUUUAUCUCAUAUAUCAGUUUCAUAUACUUUUCAAAUUCAUUAUGCAGGACAGGUACUUUUUUAAUCUAUCAGUAAGAUUUACUUUUGGGUAACAAGGAAAAUAUUUUAUGUAUUUGAUCCUUAAAUGAAACUUAAUCUAUAAGUUAAUCCCUUGACAAAAUACUUUUGCAAAAUUUCAUACUUUUUUUAAAGGGGCAAUUUCAUCACUAGCCCUCUUAAGCAUGGAAAUAUCACAAAUACCCCUAUAAAAUUAAAAAUAUCAUAUAUACCCCUUCAAAUGUAGAAAAUUAUCACAAUUACCCUUUCUUCUAACUGACGUUACGAUUAAAUUAUAAAAUGACUAAUUUACCCCUUAAAAAGUUGGUUGGGUUGUUCUUUUAAUAACAAAUAAUAAAGGAGUAAUUUCAUGAAUACCCUUCUAACUUUUAAAAAUAACAUUUCUAACACUAAUUAUUGGUGGAUAAAAUAUGUGGAAACCCCUCACCUGUCACGCCCCGUGAUGGCCAAUUUGGUCGGUUCGGGCUCGCACACAGACGCUGAACGAACAGAACCUCCCAUGUUUGCUCAAGGCUCAACAAUAACUAUCAAACAUGUAUAAGAAAAUGUUCAGAAAAAAUUUCAAUAUACAUGAGUUACACGAGGGUAAGCAGCACAAGCGAGUGAAAGUAAACUAACUAAACCAUUCAUACAUUGUAUCUUGAUUACUUUAAAUCAAAUAUACAGAUUGCAUUGUUAUUACAUACAUAUAUUUUUAACAUUUACAAUUGCCAUCUCUCAAAUAAAUAAUUUACAUUUGCUUUCAUCAACUACAAGAUGAAAUAUACAAGAUAUAUAUCUAUACUCAAUGGAUGUCGCUAUCUAUAGCGCGCUGUUCCUAUCACGAUCCUCGACCACCCCGCACGAGCUAGAACCUGUAUGGUUAGUGGGGUGAGAACUACUGAAAGUUCCCAGUGGGUUCGGCCGCCGACCUCGCCGACUCACCCACUAGGUUUACUCAGGUAUAUAUAGGCAAGAAAAGGAACAGAUAGUAACCAACUAUAACAUGUAUCUACUACAAUGCAUGUACAAAGCUGAAUAGAAUAAUAUAUAACUCAUGGAGUUUAUGCAUGCUGCUACUAAUACCAAUACCAUUAUCCAAUCAACUUAGUUAACCCCUGUGGUUAACUACAACUCACCAACUAAAUCCCUUUUCAUCGGGGAGAAUUCCGCUACCAACCCGACAGGACCGUCUACUGGGGAGAACUCCGCUUACCAACCCAGUUGAUGACAACUCCGGAGCAUAUCGUCCAAGGAGGAACGACCUCUACCUCGAGCAUUAGACUAAUGUGAGUAUAAUUCAAUCCUCAUCUAGAGAAUACCAUGACAAUGCCACACUUAACUAGCUCUUUAUGCUAGGUUUACAUGUCCCAUUCUAGAUGCUAAUCAAUUCAUCUAGUUCUAAUGCCACAAACAGUACAAGUCCAUUUUCCUUAUUUGACAUUCACAAUACUUGAUACUAUUCAUACAAUCUAUUCACAAUGUCACUUUGUCAACUAUUUCAUAGUCCGACACAAGUUCAUACAUCUAUAGGAUUCUAUGUUUACUAGUCAUUAUCCACAUGCAUUUUGCUUCCAAAGUAUAUAAUUAGAACACAUAUAACACUUAACCAUAUAACAAUCACAACCCUAUCAUGUAUGAAUAUCAACUAAACAUGUAUAAUCCAUGUAUGCUCAAGAAAAGUGAUAUAAACAUAAUAGGCUCAUCAGAACGUCGAUUCGAGCUUUCCAACGCGUCAGUUUUAUUCUCAAUUAGGAUUCUACGCGAUCAUUUUCAAGCUAAGUCUCCAAUCCUACAAAAUAGCAUUUUCGAGCAUUAGCUCUACAUAGCCUAUUACUAUAUAAAUUCUAUAAGAACACAUAACGUAAUUCAAUUUUUACUAACCCAAGUCUACAUAUAUGCUGUUAACAUAGUAUAGUUUCUAGUAUUAUAUAGCAUCUAUAAGUUUUAGCCUCUAAUAGAUGCACAUUCCAGCCAUAACUAUGCUCCUACAACUCCACUUUUAACUAACAGUUCAUAUAUAUAUAUAUAUAGGAUAAAUUGCAUUGUUACCCCCUGAACUUUUGGCGAAGUUUCACUUUACCCCUCGAACUUCUAAAAUGGACAUCUAACCCUCUAAACUCUAAUAUUUCGUUCAUGUUACCCCUUCCGUCAGUUUUCCGUCAAGCUCCGUUAACCGGAAAUUGAUGGAAGGGGUAAAACGAAUGAAAUAUUAGAGUUUAGCGUGUUAGAUGUCUAUUUUAGGAGCCUGGGGGAUUAAGUGCAACUCGCCAAAAGUUUAGGGGGUAACAGUACAAUUUACUCCGUAAGGGACUCUUGACUAUAAAUUAUUUUAUUAUAAUAUAUUACUUAUGGAUUAACUACUAAUCCUCAUGUUAGUGAUCAUGCUUGAUUUUGAAUUUAUCUAUAUUUUUAAUCCUAAAAUAAAUUAUACCGUUAAAUACUCUAGAUCAUGCUUGAGGAUCCUAAAAUCCUCAAGUUGAGAGGAUGUAUAUAUAUAUAGAGAGAGUCAGGCUACUAUACUCUUAUGAGUGUGAUCGCCUUCGUACUCAUAAGUUGUUUUCAAUAAUAAAACUUCCGAAUCGACGAUUCAUACCGUUAAAUAUUAUCUAGAAUAUUUAAAAACAUCAAGAAAUCAAAUUUUAUAAUUUUUUUAUAUCAUUUCGAUCAAAAGAUCUAAAAAUUGACAAUUUUUAAUGGUCGGUAUGGAAUACUUGCUAUUUUAAUGGUGUAAAAAAAUCGGAAUCAAUUGAAUUUUUGAUAGAAAAUUUUAUUCACUAUCAAAAUAAAGAUCAAUAUAGAGAUUUUGACAGUUCAUUUUAUGCCCACUUGAUGGACGUUAUUAUGAUUUCAAAAAAUUACAAAAUUUAUUUUUUAAAAGUUUCAAAUACUCUAGAUCAUAUUUAACAGAGUGGAUCGUCGAUUCGGAAGCUCCAUUAUCGAAAACAACUUAUGAGUACAUAGGGCUCUAUACUUAUCAAAAUAUUGUAGCCCUAUAUAUAUAUAUAUAUAUAUAUAUAUAUAUAUACAUAUAGAGAGAGAGAGAGAGUCUAGCUAUGGUGCUUGUAAAAGCACCAUGCACUUGGUGCUUGUAAGUUUUUUACCGUUAGAUCUACUCCUCGAAUAAUUUUCAACUAUUAGAUUAUACUAUUCAACCAACCAUCCAUUCAAUCUUAGGGGGCCCACAUCAUCCUAACCGCUUAUCUCUUAAUCUAAAGGCUAAAAACUUACAAGCACCAAUGUCUUGGUACUUUUAAAAGCAUAGGAGCUCAAUUCUACAUAUAUAUAUAUAUAUAUAGUUGAGCUAGAAUACUCUCAAUAGUAAACGGAGCAUUUUACUAUCGGGUUGUUUUCGAUGAUAGAGCUUCUAAAUUGACGAUCGGCUCCGUUAAAUAUGAUCUAAACCAUUUAAACUAUCUAGAAAUCAAAUUUCACGCACUUCGAUAUUGUUCUUUUAUCCAUCUAGUGAACAGAAAAUGAAUGGUUGAAAUAAAUAUUCUUUAAAAAAUGAUGAUAGGAGUCUUGUAAUCAAGAUCAAGAGUAUGAUCUGUUUUAAAUAGUUUAAAGAAUUUUCUAACAAAAAUUCAAUUGAUUUGGAUAUCUUUACACCGUUAAACGAGAAAAACGUCUCUUAUCCACCAUUAAAAUACAAAUUUUGAAACCCUUUGAUCAUUAGGCAAAUGAUGUCGAAAAGAUUUGAAAUUUGAUUUCUAAACACUUUAAGUAGUAUAGAUCAUGUUCACACGGAGCCGAUCGUCAAUUUGGAAGCUCUAUCAUUGAAAACAACUCGAUAGUAAAUGCCCCGUCUACUAUCGGAGAUUUCUAGCUCAACUCUAUAUAUAUAUAUAUAUAUAUAUAUAUGUAGAAUUGAGCUUCUACGCUCUUUAAAAGUACCAAGACAUUGGUGCUUGUAAGUUUUUUGCCUUUAGAUUAAGAGAUAAGCGGUUAGGAUGAUGUGGGCCCCUAGGGUUGAGUGGGUGGUUGUAGAAUAGUAAAAUCUAACGGGUGUAAUGAUCAACAGUGCUGAUCUAACGGUUAAAAACUACAAGCACAAAGUGAUUGUGCUUUUACACACCAUAGCCGGACUCUUCUCUCUAUUAUAUAUAUAUAAUAUAUUAUAUAUAUAUAUAUAUAUAUAUAUAUAUAUAUGUCCGGCUGGGGGUACUAAUCAAUAGCUCCAAGGAUUUGGUGCUAUCGAGUUUUCCACCGUUAGAUUUACCCUCUCAUAAUUUUACCCGUUAGAUAUAUACUAUUCAACCAACCACCCACUCAACCCUAGAGGCCCACAUCAUUCCUAACCACCCAUUUCUCAAUCUAAGGGCUAAAAAAUCAAUAACACCAAUAGUUUGGUGCUAUUGAUAGUAUUCCAGCCUAGUUCUAUAUAUAUAUAUAUAUAAUGAGUCCGCGCUGGGAUACUAUCGAUAGCACGAAGCAUUUAGUGCUAUCAAGUUUUCUUCGUUAGAUUUACCUUUUUAUUAUUUUCAUCCGUUCGAUAUAUACUAUUCAACUAACCACCUACUCAACUCUAGGGGGCCACAUCAUUCUAACCGCACAUUUUAAUCAAAGGCAGAAAACUUAAUAGCACCAAGUCAUUGGUGCUAUUAAUAGUAUUCUAGCCUAGUUCUAUAUAUAUAUAAUAUAUUAUAUAUAUAUAGAGUCGGCUACUAUGCUAUUAAUAGCACGAAGCACUUGGUGCUACCAAGUUUUCCGCCGUUGAAUCUACCCUUUUGAUCAUUUUUCACCCGUUAGAUUCAUACUAUUCAACCAACCACGCCACUCAACCCUAGGGGCGCCACAUCAUCUUAACCACACAUCUUUUAAUCCAAAUGGCCAAAAACUUGGUAGCACCAAUGACUUGGUGCUAUUAAUAGUAUAUUAGCCUAGUUCUAUAUAUAUAUAUAUAUAUAAUAUAUAUAUAUAUAUAUAUAUAUAUAAUUAUAUUAUUAUAUCAUAUAUAUAUAUAGGGUCCGGCUACUAUACUAUUAUGAGUACGAUCGCCCUCGUACUCAUAAGUUGUUUUCGACAAUAGAGCUUCCGAAUUGACGAUCCACACCGUUGAACGUUAUUUACAGCAUUUAAAACUUCUAGAAAUCAAAUUUUAUAAUUUUUCGACAUCAUUUAUCUUACGAUCAAGAGGUCACAAAUUUGACAAUUUUUAAUGGCCGGUAUAGAAUACUUGCUAGUUUAACGGUGUAAAAGAAUCAGAAUUUGUUGAUUUUUGAUAGAAAAUUCUAUUCACUACAUAGAUAAAAAUCAAUAACUCCGAUCUUGAAUUGAAGGAUCCGAUCAUCCUUUCCUAGGACGUCGUUCGAUUUGACCGUUCAUUUUAUGCCCACUCGGUGGACUUUAUUAUGAUUUCGAAAAUUUACGAAAUUUAUUUUUUAGAAGUUUCAAAUACUCUAGAUCAUAUUUAACGGAGUAGAUCGUCGAUUCGGAAACUCUAUCAUUGAAAAUAACUUAUGAGUACGAGGGCUUAUAUAUAUAUAUAUAAAAUUCAAAGUUAAGAUCAUGCUGAAGUGGACUAAUAGUUGAGAGGGUCUUCAUACAAUGUUACUUUUUUUGUUGACAAUAAAUGUUUAAUUAGAAAACUGUUCCUUGAGCAGGUUAUAUGAAAAAUACUCUAAUAUCAAGAAUUUUGAUAUCAAAAUAUUUUUAAUGUGACUUAUGUGAGUUAUUUAAAUAAAAUUCAAAAAAAAAUCUUGAAAUAAUUAAUGUUGAAUACUACAAUGGACAAUUGCAUUACAACUAUUAUAUAAUUUAAAAGCGAAAAAUCAUAACAAGAUUUAAUUAUUACACUUAAUAGACUGUAGAUCUUUAAUUGUAAAAUUUUAAAGAGAAUGUUGAAUUGUUAUGUGAUUGAAAGGUUAAGAAUUAAUCAUAUAAUUAAUCUUAAAUUAUUACACUUAGUUAAAUUAGUAAUAAGGGUAAAAUUGGUAUUUAUAGAAUUUUAGAUGACUUUUUAACGGAAUGUUUGUCUUAAGGGUAUUUGUGAAUAUUUUUGCUUUUUAGAGGGAUAUUGUUGAUAUUUUCUAAUUUAGAUGGGCAUUUAUGAAAUUACUGUUUCCUAGAGGGGUAUUGAUGAAAUUAUCAUGCAAGGGGCACAUGUGAGUGUUCAAUUUUCUCUAUUUAAAUAUAUGGUUAAUUGCACACAUGUCCCUGCAAAUAUAGUAAAUUAUAAAUAUAUUCCUACAAAGUUCAACUUUCAUAUAUUGUCUAUAUAAAAGUCAUAAUAUUUUCAAAUAUUUCCUUAUUGUUAGAAUCAGUUAGAAAAAUUUAGUUAACAAAGUUAAAUACUUAACCCUAGUUAGUUUAUAAGAUAAAUUGAUAUUUUUACACCUCUUAUAUUAUACUGUUGUGGUACGUGGGUUCUUAAAAAAAUUUUAAGUUUCGAUCAUUUUAGACCAAUUACAACGAAAUUACUUUUUAGUGGCAAUUUAAUAACGGCGAUAAUCAAACGGCCACUAUUAUUAUUAUCUUAUUGUACUUUAGUAGCAAUUAUUUCAAAAUAUAUAUUUUUAACGGACUAAUAUUUAUAUAUUAAAUAUAAUCCUAGCCCAACCUCAACCCCAGCCGAACCCACCCCACUUCUCUCUAUCGCGAGCGGAUCAACCUCUCUCUCUUUAUCGCGAGCGCGCGGACCAACCCCACCCCCGCCCCCCCUCUUUCCCCCCUCCCCCCUCCUCUCUCGAUCCAAGCUGCGUCGCCCUUAUUGCGAGUUCUCUAAGCUCGGAUCCCUAUCGGCAGUGGCGGCGGCGGCGGCGGCGUCGUCUCCGGCGGAGGAGCUCUCGGCGGCGGAGGAGUGGCAUUACAGGCUGAGUGUAAUGUACUAGCUGUCUAUCGCGGAUCCGAGGUAACGUAACCGAGGUUAGAAGAGGUCAGGGAAUAGAGAGGAAAUGGGAUGGAGGUAGACUAAGAGUUGGGGAAGAUAGGGUUAGGGAAAAUAGAGGUGAGUAGAGAGUAGAAGAGAAGAAAAAUUGGGGAAGAAGAGUUUAGAGAGUUGGGGGAGAAGAAAGAACUUCAAUAAUUUUCCAUUCAUUGAUAUCCUGUUUACAUGAUAAUAUGGUAUUUAUACUACUUAGUAAAUUGAACUGGAAUGAAAAACACCUAGUCUACGAGGGCUAAACUGUAAUUUGUCAAAAUGGGGGUGGGGGAAUGGGGAAAUGGGGGACGGGUUGAAUUCGGAUGCCUUGUGGGCCUCGGGUGGGCCUUCCCGGUCCAGGAUGUUGGUUAUCGGGCAAGCGGGCGUCGGUUCCGCCCUUCUCCGCACUAUCCGCAACCCGGCGGGUACUGGGCUCGACAUUUUCCCCCGAUCCGCCUACUACUUCUCCUUCGCCCCCAAUUGCGUAGAUCGCGGUCCUCCCAUCUUCCCUCUGUACGCCGACGAUGCCCUAAUCCUCGUCGCUCGCCGGAAUUUCGCCGGAACCAGAACCUGGAGAAGAGCCGCAUCACAGGCAUCACGAAGCACCUGGAGAAGAACCAGAACCCUAGCUGGCACCAGGUGUUCGCCUUCUCCAAGGACUGCAUCCAGGCGAACUUCGUGGGCCGCAUCGUCUUCGACCUCACCGACGUGCCCCUCGCCCCGCAGUGGUACAAGCUCGAGGACAAGAAGGGCGACAAGCUCUCCUCCGGCGUCGGCGGCGGCGAGCUCAUGCUCGCCGUGUGGAUCGGCACCCAAGCCGACGAGGCCUUCCCCGACGCCUGGCACUCCGUCUCCCUCGACGUCCUUGCCGUCGGUUCACCCCGCCGAGCUCGCUCCCUCACCAAUCUGCUGCUGCCACUUAUUUCACCCCUACCUCGUAAAGUUGCUACCUUUACUACUCCUUUUAACUACUCUGCUCCUUUAUUCUUCAGGUUGUUACACUGAGGAAGCUCUCGGCGGCGGCAUCUAGGGUUCCGGCGGAGCCGCGACGACCGCGCCGUGUGGCUCGCCGAGAAUCCCCUCUAGCACGCCCAGCUCUCCCUCAACGUCACCGAUCUCUACAUCAGGUCCCCAUCCUUUGAUUUGUAGUGGUUGGAAUUUUAAUUUUGAACCUUUGAUUUGUUUGUGGAUUUUAAUGAAAAUUAGUGCUUCUUCAAAUUGCUUUAUUCAUAGUGGCCCUUACCUCAAUUAUAGGUAUUUACAUGAUGAGUUAAUUGAACUCCCAAGCAAGGAUUUAAGUGCCGUGACACGGUGUCGUGCCAGAAACCUGCCGGUACGGUAUGGACGGUGCGUAUCGAGUCGUACGGUACGGUACGGGACGGUGCGUAUCGAGUCGUGCCGAUACGUGUGCCGAUACGUGCUAGUUAAAAAAAUUCUUGUGUGCCGAUACAUAAUAGCAUGAAAUAUUUAUUUCUUUAGCAACAAAACAUUCUAACUAUUUAUUAUGUCUUUUUAUCAUAUCUUUUAAAUUUUAUUGAGACAAUUACUUACUAAUUUAAAGAAUAGAGGGUUUUGAGCUGUGCCAUCGGCACGAGGUCUGUAUCGUGCCGGUAUCUUGUUGGCACGGUACGGCACGGUGGAUACGGCCCGUGCCGACGGGCACUUAAAAGUUAAAACCUUGCUCCCAAGGAAGUUUCUGAACAAAGGCACUAUUGGGUUCUUUGGGCAGAGUAAUUUAAGUUAUUAAUUGAAAGUCAUAACACAGCAAUGAGAACAAAGGCACUAUUCAAUCAGAACUUAGCUUGUGAAUUCCUUAUAUUGGGAUUACUUGUCUGGUUUCAGCAAUUCUUGUAGAUUUCCAACCACUGAUCGCGGUUUUUAAGUUGUUCCAUUAUUUCAAACUUUUCAUUUGUGAGAAUAAUAAUUAAAAGAUCAUAUUCCAUCUCACCAUGACUCAAAUGCGGCUUAUAACAAUUAAUGCAAAAUUACAGUAUUCCUAAAAAGUAGUAAACAAUCCGCUUCAUUCAUUUUUUUUAAACUAAACUCAGUUAAAUAUGUGAAAUAGUUAAACUUUGAAUUUAAAUUCUCGGAUACCAUCCAUCAAGUCUUUGCCAACUGUGCUACCUACCCGUAGGAGUUAGUAAAAGAGCAAUUGAGGAUUGGAAGAAAUUUAGGUUGUAAGAUAAUUGACCAAAUGUAAUGGAUGGUAACACUAUUUCUAAGUGACUUUUCAUUAGAUCGAUCUGUUACGUAACCCAGUAUCGAAAUCACUCCUAAACUCCUCGGAUUUCUAAGGUUGUGGAUUUUAAUCAUUGCAUGUUAUCUAUUUUGCUCGUGAGAACACAUUUUCUGCACUCUGAGCAAAAUGAGGUUGUAGGCAAACUCUGCUGGCGCUGUUUAUUUAACCUUCGUUUGGUACAUACAAUUCUGGAUCAUUUCUUAUGGGAGCCAAAACCUAAGAUCUCAUCUCACAUAUCAAUUUUAUGUAUCUUAUGCAUUUCGCAUUCUACAGGACAAACUUAUUUUGCACUCUUAAUUAGUUGAGGGUCAUCUUAAAAAGUGUUGUGACUAACAUGAGAGCAUCCUGAUUCAGAAAAAUUUAGGUGGUUAAGUUUGAUUUAGAUUGAGUCGGAAGUUCAAAGAUGUAUCUUCUAAUAUUAAUUCAGAUCGAGAAGAUUCUUAAUUUUAUUUGUUUGGAUCGAGAAGAACUAGUUAAAAUAUACGGACUGAGAAGAACUAGAUGAGGCCUGACAAUCGAACUUAAUAGUACCUACUAAGUUGGAAGUUCAAUACGAAUUUCGGGACGCUUGAGAUUGUUUAGACCUCCGAAAUCGUGAUCAAUGUUUGACUUUUUAUUCAUAAAAUGUUUGAUUGUGAAUAUCUUUUUAUCCGCAAGUAACUAGAAUUUUGCCUCAUAUUCAGUUUGAUAUACUCAAGAUGUUUUUUCAGAUAUGAUGUUAUCUGACUGACUUUCAUAAAAGAAAACUACGAAUUCUGAAAAGUAUCACUCUACUCUUUAUAGGAUUUUAGAUUCUGUUCUAUCUCACUAGUUGUAAAAUUAACUUUGGUCCUAUAAAUAUUACCUUGUGAUUUUUUAAUUAAUUAAUAAUUAGUGGCGUUUAAAUAAAAUUUAAUUUUUGCGUGUAUCUCUGUAAAGUUUUUCUUUCGUAGAGUCCUGGAUUGAUAUAUUACCAGUCACAAUUGGUCAGUGUGCCUGCUAGAUGGGUUUCCAAGACUUGCAUCAAUUAUUCUAGGGAAUGCAAAUCAUGAGAUAGUAGGAUAAUUAUGCGUUGCUUGGCAGAAAUGUUUGUUUAACUACACUAGUUAUGUCACGGCUAACUAUUUGUGGGGUCCUCACUAAGAUGUCUAAGAUCUAGUUUAAGAAUGAUUUGCUCAAACGCCCCUGCUUUAGUGCAUUAGAGGGCUAUAAAAACCUCAAAGUGGCUGCUGGAGAUUCCAACAAGUUGAUUCAGCAGUUCCCCGUGCUGCCCCGCGGGAAGUCUAAUUUCCACAAUAUGUCAUUCCAUAAUGAGUAAAAUGGUGGUUGAAACCACCACCGAAGAAAGAAGUCUUCAUACGGGCUCCUCCCGUGGUGGUCCGGGACCUGUGGUCCCUGUCACCACUUGAAGCAUCUGAAUAGGGAACCUCUAAAAUGCUUUCGAAAGUUUUUGGAGCCUUUGAGCAUCACGAGGAUUAUGUUCCGGCCACUCAUUCUGAAGCUGGGGCUAAAAGGGUCUAACUCUUAUUGCAUUUGCUCUCCAUUAUGACUAUCACUUAGUUUUACAUUUAAAAUUCACUUAAACAUUAGUUCUCUUUUUACCUCUUGCUGCUACAUUAUUGGUUUUUAUUUUAUUUUAUUUUAUUUUUUGUAGUGGGAUGAUUUGUUCGGAUCUCCAUUCCCAGCAAAUCCCGUGAAGGAACCUCAUGUCUCUUACCCCAAGAAACGGAAGGAUUCUUUGUCAGUCAGAGACAACGAUCAGUUUAUUUUACGUAAAAGAAGAAAAAAAUGGAGUUCAUUGGAAGAGGAGACCUUGAGAAAAUCUGUGGAAAGGUAUGCACAUGAUAUAUACCCUUCAAAAAUUUACUUCCUUAGUUCCUUAGAUAUAUGUACCUCUUACUGCGAAAAUAACCUUUCUCAGAGAGCAUUUUUAGGAGAAAACCACCUUUCUGCCAUGAAUUAGAUGACUCCCCUAUUUAAGAUUAGGGUAUGUCUUUUGAGAAACUGAAAUUUUGUGGGGUAGGUAUGUAUGAAAAUAUGUAUGUAAAUAAAUGAUGUUGUAUAUACACUAAAGACCCAAAAAAUAAUUUGACUGUCAACUAAUGCUCUGAGGAGGCAUAUUUUGAGAUUUCAGUGUCACACAAUUUCUUAAUGGAAGUUUCCACUUUCGAAGCUAUUUGGUAGCCUGCAAGUGCAAUUAUGUAUGGCUGCAAAUGCAGGUAGAAGAUGAGCUACUUCCUACUAUUUGCUUUUCUAGAUCAUUUAGGGAAUAGAUAGAGACAAUUUGGAGGUUGGGUAUUAGUUAGAACUUGCUGUAAUUACUAGCUUAAUUCUUGAGUGCAGAAUGGUCAUUGUUAGAUUUGAUUCUUGCAAGCUUCAGUGAGCCUUCAACUUUAGCCCAAGGUGUAACAUCCCUAAUCCCAGGCAUAUACUAGUCUUUCGGUAAGGCUCCAGUGUGCUGGGCUUCUUUUGUGAUCCUUCUUAACAGAUAUGCAUUGUCCAUAUGUCCUCAUUUUAGGGGUGAAAAUAGAUCAGAUGAUAAUCAUGAUAUCAAUCCAAUCAGACUCCUGAAUACGAGCUUUGUCGCACAUGGGUUUAGGUUUUCCUUAUCCAUCAUUGAAUCUGGAUGUAGUUAAUAGCAUCCCUAUCCAUAUCAAAAGAAGUUGCAACAAGAAGCUCAUUCAUUCGGUGCGGUGCCGGUGAACUUAGACUUACUGGAUAUCUGAACAUGUAAAACCAUUCAAUUGCACGGUCAAAACAUUUGUUUCCGCAUUUCAAAUGCACAGUUAAAACAUUUGUUUUCGCAUUUCAAUUGCACGGCCAAAGCAUUUGACAGUUGUACGUACCUCUGUUUCACUUUGUGUGUUCAAAUCAAAUCGGCAUAUUCUCCACCACAAUCAUUUAUUCAUCAUCCCAUAUGUACUUCGACUGUUGAUAACUUAGGUGGCCUUUUCUACUUAUGGAGAUGAUCUUACCAUACAGGACAAACUUGCUAAAUAAAAAAGGGUCUUAUUGAACCUAGUAACAUAAAUCCUUUUGUCCUAAUUUAGCACCAAAAUUUUCUAAAUAGACCAUUAUGUAGAACAAAACAGGUCCCUGCCACAUUUUGUGCACCUUAUUUUGCCCCAAAUUAUGAAAAUAUUACUCUUGGUGCCGCAGUGGUUUCACUUAAUUUAGCUAAAUUUAUUCUUUUUGCGAGUAGUUGCUUGGCUGUUCGGCGUGACUUUUAGGUAUUUUGACAAUUUGUGGAGCUGUUGCAAAUUAAUAUUUUAAAUAGAAAGUUUUUAACUCUUGCGCCCCUUAAAUAAGCACUUCCACAUCACCUCACGAGAAGCUCCAACUAGGUCAACCUCAUUCUAACGGGCUUUUCAGAAAAGGUAUUGGAGCCUGACAUUUUAGAAUCAUUCUUUAGGAAGAUAUUUGUUAGCCUAAAAACAAAUUUGUGGUAAACCAAGAUGUAGCGAUAAAUUGCUAGCGUCAUACGUUACCUGCUGUAUAUAUUUUUCUCGUUGAUUGACCAGAAAUUAUCAGCUUCUGGGUGCAGCCACUAUAAAUAGGCCUACUAGUGUAACAUGUAAGUAUUCUAGUGCAAUGGCUUAUUCAAUCUCUAUAUCACUAGUUCAUAUCAUUGCGUUUCUGUGGAUCCAAAUCAAAAGCACUAAAUCCCGAAAGUUUGUCACUUUGCUUCUUGAGCCAAGCUCAUGAAGAAACAUGGUUUUCUUUCAUGUUUUAGUCGGGACGGAAGGAGAUAGUUUUAGAUCUGGCAAAGUUUGUAGACAAGGGCGUCCAAGUGAAGCUAACUGGUGGGAGACAAUGUUUGUAUAAUGUAUUUAGAUGUAUUUCAUGUUGUACUGGCAUGUAGUUAUCCCACAAUAAGUUUUGACUUUUGUUACUCUUGCAAAUUUUUUUUAUGAUUUAGUAUUCACUGAUUGUUUUCUUUUCGUACUAUGUGAAAAGAGUACAAGUAUGUAGCUCGGUAUAUAUGUCAAUAACUGAUUAAUUGGCAAGGUAAUUAUGCCGUUAGAGAGAGAAAGCUCUUCACACCACAAAGUGAUAUAAUACCUCUAUUCCUUGUGUUACAAAAUGAACUUUGGUUUUGGACAUAGCUGUGUGAAAAGACAACGGUUUGGAAUUUUGCAUGUGUGUUCUUAUAUGUGUUUUCCUUAGAAGACCAAUAAUCAAUGAUUGUUGUGCCACUCAGGAUGGUAUGCACAUGCCGACCAUGGCAACUAUGCCGAUAUGAUUGUGUCAUGUGCUGAUGUGUAACAACAUGGUAAAAGCCUAGAUAGUGGUCCAUAUUGAUCGUGCCGGCAUAUUGACACAGAAUAGUGUUGUAACAUGUCAUGUUGACUAACGGUCGGCACAAUCUCAUUCUGAGACGCUUAAAAGCUUGGUAGUACUGAUAAUUUGGCAUGAUGGUUUUGAUUUUGGGAGAAUUCUAGAGUGAGCUCUCUCUCUCUCUCUCUGUUGAUUUGCUUGCCUCCCUGUUUUCCCUUCCGAAACUUGCCUUUCCCAUUUUGCUCAAAUAUCACAUGAAAUAUAAAAUAUCAGUAAUUUACCAUGGUUUGAGGUUUUGGCUUCAGCCAAGGCCUAAGAAUAUCAGCUCUGGCAGUUAUAGUUGUUUCAGAUUGGGUUCAGCAAUUUUGGUCAGAAAAGUCUAUGAAACAAAGAGAUCACUGAAACUGAGGGAGAACAAAUAAAAGGGAGAAAGUUAAAGCUACUGCCGAAUUUCAAUGCAUUUGGAGGUAUACGUAAGUCAUUUUGAUACUUCGGAUAGCCUGAUAGUUAUACUAUAUUUUCGAAGAAGAAUACCAAUGUUGCUGGUGACCAGUCUAAUAAUUGUGAUCAUUGUGUAAAAAUAAUUGAUAAAGCUUGUUGAUUUGGAACUUAUUAGUACUGCUUACAUCUUGCAAAGCCUUUCAAUAAUGUGUUACUGUGUAAAAUUUUUGACUUAUAAUGGUUUUCUGACCAUUUGUUUAUCUUGCAGUCACAGGAACUUUGAAAGGUUAUGAUCGGCUACUAAACCUGGUACUUGAUAAAGCAAUAGAAUUUCUAAGAGGUUGUUAAAUGUAUUAUGUCAUGACAUUUAGUUGUAAAGCAUACCUAAUUUGUGCCUUCUUUUAACUGCUACUACUACAGAAUACUUGUUAUUCGAUUGUCCCUGUGCAAUGCACAGAAAAACCUAUAGGGCGCGUUUGGUUCGCACUAUGAAAGAUUAUUAGGAAUAAAAAGAUAUCCGAAAAUCUUAUUCCUAUUCAUCCUAUUACUAAGAAUAUGACAUUCCUGUGUUUGGUUCGUACGGUCAUAUUAUUUAUUAAUGUUAUUUAAGAUUACAAAAAAUAUACAAAUAAUUUAUUUAUUUCUUUAAUUAAUUUUAGAUAAUGCUAUCAAAAAUUUCAACAUUUUUUUUUUUAAAAAAAGUAGAGAGAACAUAGGUUAGAGAGAGAGCAUAAUUAAAGAAAUAGGAAGAGAAAUAGAGUCGGAGUUAGAGAGAAUGAGAGAGUUGAAAUUUUAGAAAAAGAGGGAGAGAGAGAGCUUAGUUUAGAGAGAAAAAUAAUUGAAGUUUGGAGAGAAAAAGAUAAGUUUAGAGAGAGAUAUGAGGUUAGAGUAUAAAGAAAAAUAAUACUAACUAGCCGGCGGGUAGGGAGAAAGAAAGAAAACAUAUUAUGAUUAUUCCGAUCCAUUAAUAUGAGGAUAUCCACCCUCUCUCAAAAGAAUGAGAUUAGUACUUUGGGAUGAAUCUCAUUCCCAAGUAAAUAUAAUAUUACCAACUAGAUUACUUAGUGCGUUUAGCCAAGUACCGCCAUAGUUUUUUAUUCCUAUUGAAUUACUAGGAAUCUUAAAAAGAUGGCGCAAACCAAACGCACCCAUAUAGUUAUAUAGUUGGUCCCUAUUUUAUGUUGGGCUAUCAUUUGAGGCAUUUUCUUGUAUAAUGUUAAUGAACGCCUCCGAAAGGGUUUAGAAUAAUCUGAAACAAAUUCAACAUGAAUCUCACUCUAUUCAACCUCUACUAAUUUAAAUGCUUCACUUUUGUAUAUUAUGAGUCUCAAAUUUUCUUAUUAUGCUACUGUUUCUAUCUAUUUUUGUAUAUGUAGUGCACCAUUCUCUUCAUAUUUUGUACUUGCAUGCCUGGAUAUGAAUUUAAUGGGCUUGCAUGGCUGCACCGUUCUUAAUUCAUGCUAAACAAAUUGCACUUCUGAUAGGGGCAUUAUCCUUCUAAAUUUUGAUCUGAAAAGUUGGCAAUAAGAAACAUCUUAUUUACGUAACUUUUGCAUCUAAGAGGUUGAACUCAACCUGAUAUAAUCUAAAAUUAAAUUAGCAAUCAGAUCUUGAUUGUAUUGGCUAACUUUUGCAUCCUAAUUAUACAAGAGAAUUAGUGAGCCCGUUUUUAAUUUAGAGAAAAAGGAAUUGCGACCAAUUAAGUAAUAUAUCUCCAAAGAAAAAACCCAUUAAAUUCAUUGCAUAUCACAGAUCUAACUGUUGGAAUGUUCUUGAUGUGAUUUGAUUGUGAGAUUGUUAAAAAAUUGGAAAAAGAAAUAGAAAUGAUGGAAUGACAUCAUGGGAAUGAGAUGAAGGUUAUGAAAGAAAAUCAAGCUAGAUUAGAUUCUAAAAUUGUACUGAUGAGGUCAAUCAUUAAUUGAAGGUUUCUGAAGAGAUACAAUCAUGUGGUUCUAGAUCCUAUGAGACUGAGAGUUUUUAUAUUUAUUAUAUCAUUAGCACAUUCAAAUUUAUCUGUAUAUCAUGGUGUUUUUUAUCUAUUUAUUUGAGAAAAUCGCUUUUUGUUUAUAAUUUCUAAAAUAUUUUUUUUCUAUUUCUAUUGUUUAUUUUGUAUAAGUAUAGAAGAUAUUGUUGUAAAUUGUGUUUGUUAUGUGAUUGUAAAAUAGGUUCUUGAUAAUUCGAGUACUCAUUACAAUAAAGUUGCAUAAAAUACGGGAUGCUCUAGUUCUUUUUUAUACGCCUCAAUCUAGUGACAUGGUAAUCUAGAGUUUUUUGUAAAUUCUAAAUAUAUUUUCUUAGCAUAUUUGUUACUAAUUUUUUAACCGUUUAUUCUCAUUUAUUUUUCUUGCAGAUUAUUCUUCUUAAGCCCAUGGAUCUUUUCUAUUGGAAUCUUCACUCUUUAAGGAUGAGUCUUCAUGAACUGUAGUUUGAACUUCUUUAUUGGAGCGCAUAGAACUUUUCUUUCGCCUAUAUAAUUUUUUAACUAUAUAUUAGUCUUCUUAUAAUUUGAAUUUUUUUUAGCUAUCUACUGUUUGAUUAACAUUUAUUUUGUGAUAAAAAUUGAUUUUGACAUUUAUUUGUACUCGCAACACUUUUGAGAAUGUAAUAGGUUUUUAUAUUCAGCUUAUUUGAUAUUCAUGAAAUAUUGGGUUUUUAAUUUUCUUUGUCUAUACAUUAUUUUUGAAAUUUUUAUAGUGAUUAAUUGAAUAUAUGAUUUUUAAUGAUAAUUUAAUAUUUUUUUAUAUUUAGUGACUAUUUAUCUUAUCUUUGUUGGCAUUUGUGAUUAAUAUUACAUAUUUUAUGGGCAAAUAUAUUUUGCUUUUAGUGGCUUUUAUAAUUGUUGGUAUAGAGUAAUUUUUAGUGGCAAUUAUUUUGCUUUUUAUCGGUCGCUAAUAUAAUCGCCGCUAGACUUUUACCAAUCCCAUAUAUAGUGACAAUUGCCAAUAAAGAGAGUAGCAGCGAUUAUAAUCGCCGCUAAUCUAUGAGAUAAUUGCCACUAAAAGACAAUUUUAUUAGUGUAAAAAAAAUCUGGCUGUGUCGUCCCGUGUCCCCUCGAAUACGUGAAACUGUGUCCGAUAUUUUUUUAUUUUUUAAAAAUAUGGUUCAUUUUCGUAUCGGAUGCGUAUUAGUAUCCAAUACGUAUCCGAUACGGAUAUAAUAUGAAAUUUAACGUAUCUGUCCUUCACAAUUUGAAUAAUUUUUCUGCUUGGCAGCACGACGAGAUAUGAGCAGAGAUGCAGGAUUACCAAAGCAUGCAUAUUUUACCUUUAUGGAAAAGCUUCUUCCUGUCACCCCAAAUUGAAUGACUGCCAAAAAGAAAAGUAACAUACUCUUAAACCAAAUCACUUGAAAAAACAAACACAUAAGAAUAGCUUUUCUUCCUCACCUACUCCCUGUUUACUGGAAAAUUUUUUUAAAAAAAACUAUAAAUUCUAACUAUAUCUUUUUUUAACUAAUGUUUUUAAGAAAUAAAACUUAUAAUCGAGUAAAUGUUCUUAUAAAAUAGUUUAUAUUUAUUUUCGUAUGUGCUACUUGUACUAUCCUAGUUGAGCCUACAGAAUUAAAAUACCAAAACGAUAAAAUAUUGAUAUAAUGAGAGUUGCAGUCCCACAUAGUAUAUAUUGGAGAAUCAUAAAAGUUCAGCUGCUGCCAUAAUAAUUCGAAAAAAUUAGAGUCAUCUGCAACAUAGUUAGUUAAUUCGGAUUCGGCAAAAAUUUGGUACAGGUAUAAUUCGGAUAAAAUUUGUCCUUUAAUUUUUAAAUUUGUUGAAAAUACGGCUAAAAAACGGAUUCGGCAAUUAUUUGGAUACAUGAUUUAUACGGAUGUUAUACGUUCAUCAAUUAAAAAUUCAGGAUAAAAAAUUUGGCUAUAUAAUAAAUAUAUAAUAAUUAAUAUACUAUAUAUAUUAUUAUUAUAAUUUUUAUAUAUAAAUUAAAUAUAUUUAAAAUUAUAAUAAACAUAUAUUAAUAAUAUAUAAGAGCAUAUAUUUAGAAAUAUUAAUAAAUAAUUACAAAUUUAUAAAUAAAAUAUUAUAUAAUAAUAUUUUCAUAUAAAAAUAAAAUAUUAUAUAUAAUAAAUAAAUAAAUAUAUAUAAUUUGCAAAUAAUUUGCGAAUUAAAUCGCCAUCAUCUGCAAUCUUCACGGGCUCUGCAAUCCUUCACGAGCCAUCCUUUACGGGCUAGUUUUUUCCAAAUAAUUUCCAAACAUGGAAACUGAAAAAGAAUAUAUAACAACGAAUGAAGUUACCAAAAUGGAAAGCAUCUUGUCACUCUCUCCAAAGUAUCGAUCACAUGGAAAACAACAGUAUCUUGUCACCCUCUCCAAUGCAUCGAUCACAUGGAAAACAACAGUAUCUUGUCACCCUCUCCAAUGUAUCGAUCACAUGGAAAACAGCAGUAGCUUUAAUCAUGUAAAUCGAUCACAUGGAAAAACAACCUUUAUAUAAUCCCCUUCCUCCUUGCUGCCUUCUUCAUCUUCGCACUCUCUUCCUUCCUCUUUGCUACCCUCCAUCUUCGCACUCUCUUCUAUGGGUGUCAUCCAGCCGGCAGAGGAUAGUCCCCUUCCUCCCUCUCGGUCACUCUCUUUUUCGCAUUCAUUGUGCCUAUUAAUGAGUUGAGAGAGUUUUUUUUUUUUUUUUGAAAAUCAAUUAGAUGGAACCCACCAAUGACGCCACGUGGGUGCCUGCCUACUUGCGGCGCCCAUCAGGGAACGGAGCUCACCUCUGGGCUCCCUUCCCGUGACUCCGAGCUAAUUUAAACCCGUUCAUAUAAAUAUAUAUUUUUUUAUCUUUUUGUUUUGUGAUGCCAUAAUUCAAAACUUUUAUUUUAGUAGUCAUUACUAUUUUUAAAUUUUGUUUUACAGGAUAACUAAAGAACUGAGGGUAAAGAUGGACAACUGGUACUAUUAAUUUGCAGCUCGUUUGCAUUUCACUUCACAUUUACUGCACUACAUAUUGCAUUACAUUACAUUACAUAUUAUAAAAGUAGAGUUGGGGCAAGCAUACAAAGAUAGGUGUCGCCCAACUAAAUGCACAAACCUGCACUAAAUUUAUUUUAUUUUUUUUUCAAUGAUUAAAUACUAUAAAAAAAAUAAAAUUCACUAUGUAUUUUUAUUCUUACUACAUUGAAAGAGAGUUGGUUGGUCACACUUGUUCCCCUAAUUCUCAACUUCCAAAUCUCCAUUAAAUAGGAGAAAUAUUGUAUGUGUACAAUCUACUAAUAAACUACAUAAACCGAGCAUAUUACUUAAUUUUAUUAAUAUUAUAAAAUUAAAAUCUAACUUGAUAAAUUCAAUCUAAAUCAUAUAAAAUAUCAAUGUCUAAAAAAAAUAAUAUCUAAACUUUUAUGAUAGAAUUUUAGAAUACGUUGGGGUCUAGAAAAAUUCAAAAAAUUUGUGUUUAAAAAGCUUGUGUUUAAAGAGAUUUUUCUAGAUUAUAGGAAUGGGAAAGGAAGAACUGAAGAACGGCAAUAGAGAACGAGGAAAGUUUUUUUUUGUUUUUUUUAUAUAAGAUAAAGUUUAGAUAGUAAAUAAAAAAAUUAGUGUUGUGAAAUUAAAAUCUAAUUUAAUAUAUAUGAUCUACAAAAUAUUAAAACUCUAUAUAUAAAAAUUAUAGACUUCAUAUUUUUAUAAUAAAAUUUUAGACAUUUACUGUACAAAAUUUAUUCAUAGACGGAUACGUAAAAUGAUUUCUUCCUACUAUUUUAUUUUUCUUUCUUUAUUGAUUUAUAUAAAUUAUAUUAUUAGAUCUCUCUACAAUCUUUUUCAUGUAGUCUCUAUAAAAUAAUGUAAUUACUAUAUAAUCUAUAGAAUAUAUAAAUUGACGAUUCGGUCAUACUGAAGAAAAGGUUUCUAAGAGAAACAGGUUAAAUAAAUGGGAAUUUUUCACACAGCGAUCCAAUAAAAAUUUUGAACAUGCCUCUUGUACUGUAAAUUGACUCUAAAAUAUGCAUUAAAGAUUUUUUUUUAUAGUACAAUAUAUUAUUUAAAUAUUUUAUAUUAUAUAAAUUAAAAAUAUCCCACAUAGGACAAAAUUCAUCAUAUAUAUACACUUGAAGCAGUUUUUGUUGGGAAUCUGGUACUUGCCCCGGUACCGAUCUUGUGAAUCCGCCGUCUGCUGUGGAUUCGGUAUCGAUUAUUGGGAUUUCGCAACGGAAGCGUUAAAUCGAGUUUUUACCAUAAACCUGUCUUCUCAGCAGAAGCUGAUACAAUCAUAAAAGAGAAAAAUAUGCGGGUAAAAUAAGAAUCAUUAAUUAAGAGAAGAUUACACCCGACUCAUCUUCUGCAACUGAGUAGCUACAAUCCAAGCCUUCUUUUUGAAUCUCUCUUACCCUUCUCUCACCUUCUAUAAAACCACAAAGAAGACAAUCAUUCACAUGCACCCGUGCACUAGGUGCACUCAACUCUUGGCUAUUCUCUCUCUCUCUCUCUUUUUCUCUCUGGUACGCACACUCAAGAGACUCUCUCUCUUGACCGUACUACACCCUCAAUAGCCUCUAAUGCAUUAUAUAUAAUGCUCAACCAAAGAUGUACCCAAUCCUAGUAUAUUUAGGAUUCCGACUUUAGAGAAAGAUAACAAGCACUAAAAGCCUAGUUACUGAAGUAAUAGUUUCACUCUUUGACUUUUUAAAUUUCUUGUUAGGUACCAUCCUGGUAAAAGUUAUGCCGAGCACAUAUGACAGGUACGAUUUUUUUAAUUUUUUAGUGUAAAUAACAACCAUUAACACACGUAUUUGUGACAAAAUCCAACUGUUUUUGCUCUAUACGCUCCACAACAAAGAAGGUACGCAAUUGACACUUUUAUCUGUAAUUUUAUCUGUAAUAAAAUUCACAUGUUUUGAUAUAUCUCACUGUUUACAGAAUGAACUAGUAUGUUUGCAGUCUACGUAGGUUGAUAUAAUAUAUAAGACGUUACGCAAUAAUAGGAAAACGAUUACAACAAUAUGUUAAAUAAAAAAAAGAUGACGUAUAUUCAUGCACAUGAUGUAUCGGUAUAUCCAUAUGUUUAUGCUCUAUACUUUUGUCUUAUUUCAUACUUUUUUACAAGUGAUUCUAAAUUUUAAUGGUAUUAUAUUAAAAAAUACUAGGUCUACAAUCCAAAAGGGUAUAAAUGCAAUUUUAAAUUUCACGUGCCAAUAUUUAAUUUAUCUCCAAACUAAAAUCACUUCUGCAGAAACCACUUUUCCAGAAAUUAGGCUAAAGAGGCCCUAUGUUGUAUUUGGGCAUAUAGUUUCUACAUUUAAUUUUAGUUCCUCAAUGUUAGAAAUUAUGUGCCCAGGUACAACUAACCUAUGUUACAUAGUUGUACUUAGGCAUAUAGUUCUCUUGAGAUUGAACUAUUUUAUUUUUGUAAUAUUUGUAAUUUAUCUACAAAAUUAACAACUUUUUUUUGUCAAUUAUAUUCAUAAUUUUAAACCUAUUUCCUUGCAGAGCGAGAGACAGCAUGGCUUUGAAAAUAAAUUAAUUAUCGGUGAUAGAGCACUUGACAAGUAUUCGGAAAAAAACCUUGGUUUUAGAACUGGACAAUACAAAGAUGAUCAUCUUCAAGAGACAAUUGAAGUUUUCGUCACAAAACAUAUUACGGUGGAUUGUUACAAUCUCGGAAACGUUUUAAGCUAUCAAAACAUACUUUGGUUUGAGAAUUAUCAUAUAGCGAAAUUCUCGGUAAUCACAGAAGUCGUUAGUUGUAAACUAAAGAAUUAUAUUAAACAUUAUAAGAAUAAUUUAUUUGUCAAUAAAAAAGACCACGUGUACGGUAUAUCCGAGACAUACGACAAGUUAAUUCUUCCGUAAGAUUCGAAUUAAUUAUUAUAUAAAUAUUUUUUUUAUUAAAUCUAAAAAUAUUCUUUUUUCUUUUAAAUAUUUUUGUUUUCAGUGGUAUUUCUAACGGACUUGAAUACGCGCAUUUAAUGGGCAUUUGUCAUCCUGAUUUUUCGCUUGACAAUAUUUAUGUUAGCGAAGGCGCGACUGGACAUCAUGUGAAAAUUUCUUCGUUCAAGGGUAAUAUAUUUUUUAACUAAUUUGUCUUACUAGUUUAAACAUUAUAUCUUAGUAUACACUAUAUUUGUUUAUUCACUUAAUUUUGUUGUUCAUAAAAGGUUCCAGAAACAACACGUGCAGCAAGUCAAAGCUAGAUGAUUAUAAAAGUAUUGAAAAUAUCAUAAGAGAAAGUUAUGACAUUGUCAAUUAUAAUUUUUGUGAUAUAGUGGAGGACUACAUCUUUUUUCUGGAAAACAAGAUUACGCGNGAGGCUGCUUGACAACAAGUUAAAGCAUUAUGAUGACUUACCUGCUAAUUUUAAGAUCUGUAAUAUUAUAUUAUAUUUUUAUUUAUAUUAUCUAAAUUAAUACUAUAUUUUUUUUUUGCACAGUAUUAUCUAAAUUAAUACUAUGUUUUUUUUUUUUUGGCAUAGUAUAUUUGGAAUGGGUCGGGAUGAAUUGGCUAUGUUACGCUUCCUUGAAAAUAUUCAACCAACAUUUUGGAAAGACUUGUUCAAUACAAUUGGUCCGAUUACAUUUGGAUGAGAGCAAUUACAUUCGUAAUGGUUAAUUUAUAUUUUGACCAUGUACUCGUCUUUGUUGUUGUGCACUAUUUCCAUUAAUUAGUACUUAUAUUUUCCUUGGUAAAAUUAAAUUAUAAUGUUUAUGUCGAGUUAGAGGAGACUACUAUCUUCAUCUUUUCUAUAUAUUGCAAGUUGUUCUAAUAAGUUCACACGAAGAAUAAUUAGGAUUGCAUGAACUUAUUAAAACAACUUGCAAUAUAUAGAAAAGAUGAAGAUAGUAGUCUCCUCUAAUGUCACGCCCCGGGGUCCCUUUUAGGUUCAAAAGCACAGCGGAAAAAUUAGCUAUAAAUUUUUUUUUUGAAAACCUGACCCCAGAGUGCCAGAUCCGCCACAAAUACAGGGAAUCUACUGUUCACACGGACAGAGUCUCCCCUGUAUUUGCACGGCGUCGCACAAGUACAACAGAGUAUAGAUACACACACAACCACAACCAGAUGAACAACAAGACAGAUAACAUUCAUCCAUUCCAUUCACACACACAGAUAUAAUACUUGAGUUAUGAAUAACAUUCCACAUCUAUCAGUUAAAAUGUUUCCUCCCUGGAAACUGAUUUUGAAAUACUAAAUCCAUAAAACCACAGAAAAGUCAAUUUGAAAACUGUUCCCCACACGAGAACCAUUCUUUUUCAAAACCAGCUACCACGAGGGGUAGAAAACUGUUUUAUUUCGAGAAAACACCAAUCUUUUAGCUCAUUCCAAAACCAGUUGAAAAUCCAGAUGAUCAGAUAAUAAAACAAAACUGAACCAUGUAAACCGUCUAAGCUAUAUGUAUCCACAGAAAUAAUGAGGGUAAUAACUAAAUCGAGAUAACCUGGGUCGGAAGCUCUAUCGACCGCUACACGCGUAUCUCACGUCUCGUCCUACUACUCAUCGCCCGCGAUACCUGAAACAUGGUGGGGGAGGUGAGAACAUGUAAACAUGUCUCCCCUCCCAGUGGGUACCGCAAGCCGAAGAAGGCGAGGUGUACUCACCGGAUCAGGAAGAGAUAACUAACAGUAUGGGUAAGUAAAAUACAGUAGCAACGAUAAUGAACGAACGAGAUAUAUAUAUAUGAGAACACAACUACCGCUACUGUAAUGUACAACUGCAAGCAUACAAGGAUAUCAAAAUUAUAGUAGCAAGACAACUGUAAAGAAAGAACUAGAAGUAUAUAUGCAACAACCGCUACUAUAGCUAUAUGCGUCAACCGGACGAGGAGUCCAAAAGUACCCAAUCUAAACCGCCGUGUCGGUCUAAGGACCUCAGACAAAAGCCACUAUCUGCUCACACUUGGCAUGUAACCCUAGCACAAAGAGAACACCGCUUGGCUCACGGGUCGGAUGUACGACCACUUUUCCGGAAAAGAACACCCUCCUGCGGGGGAUCAACCCGCUGGUGUACGUGAAAUGCACUCGAGCUGUGGCGAUCAAUGCGGAUAUGAUCAAUAGCCAACCGUCGGCAAUCAGCCGACAAUCACCGCCCCUUGGGGCUAAUCGACCGUGUAGGUCAUCAAGUAACAACGUGAACCGACCAAGAGAGGUCAAUAUACGGAAAGUAACGAACGACCAAACAGGUCACCGAUGCAAACAGGAGAACCGACCAACCAGGUCACAAGUAUAGUAUAUACGAAUGCCGUCUACUCUACCCCUAUACAGGAUACUACACAUAGAACAACUAGGCAGAGUAAAUAAAGAUAAUAUGUAGAUACUGCUCGAUGUCAACUAAAAGUACGAACGCAAGAACCGACCGAUAGGUCACAGGAGUGUAUUCGAUAUAGUCCAGAACUACCGUCAGCACCAGCCGACAAUCCUACCCCUCAGGGUACACCGACCUCAAAGGUCAUCGAACGACAGAAGUCAAGAAAUAGACCAACCCACUACAUAAUGCAACAACCGACCAACCAGGUCACCGAAACAAAGUGCGAGAACCGACCAAUCAGGUCACCGGUAUCAUAUAUGGAUAAACUACUCUAUUCCUACACAUAAUACUAAGCAUAGAAACAUAAGAGUAGAGUAUAAUAGAAACAACGGGGAUGCAAGCUCAAUAUACUAUGCGAUAGUAACAACAGAAGGGUAAGGGUAAGAAACCAUCACCAAGCGUGCACCACUGUACCGACGUCGGAUCGAAGUACCCACCUGUACGGAUGUCGCGUCUGUCUCCUGACUGCAAAAGAAAGUCGACAGAACCUAUAGAGGGUCCACCGGGUUAGUAUCUAACCCACAACUAAUAAUCACAGUAUCCACAACCCCACAAACGGUUCCACGAAGAUCGGUUUCCCCAAUACCGAUUACCGUAACUCGCCGGAAGUCCCGAAAACCACACUGGGACGCCGUCGGGACCCACUAAGUGUCCCGAAACUCACCGACUCGUGUCACGAGUCACCUGCUGCCCCAAAACACUCCAAUUUGGAUGUUUUGGCAGCAAACACAAGAUAACACCCCUACACAAUUAUCGCCGGAUAAUUGUACGAAUCCGGGUUCCCGAAAGUGUCUAUUUCGACACCGGAACCCUCCGUCGCUCACCUAUCAUCAUCGAACCUACAAAAUAAUGAUGGUGACCAGCCAACAAGGCUCAGCGACAAAACACAGAGCAAACAAACACUGUCGAAAAGAAUCCGAACCGAAAUCGCGUUCUUUCGACGAAUUUCGUCGAAAAACGCACCGAAAUCGACCUUUCGAUUUCCGCGAAAGCUACAGGAUCAUGGACACUCAGUCCAGAGGUCAAACACACACUUACACGCUGCCCACAGUAGCCACAAGGCGUACAAUUGCACAAAAGCCCCUAUGUUUACAUAAAAUCCAUUAUUUUAUGUAAAUCGGGCGACUCCUAUGACUCGUUCUCUCAAACUGAGGACCUCUAAGUUCCGCCGAGACACGUACUGACAGGUCUCGACGUGCCGGAGGCCGUGCUCACGGUCUGGAGCGCAACAGGUCACUGUGGGAAGCGCGGGAGCAACCCGAAGUUCUACGAACAGCGCGCAGUCGGGGAAGAUCGCGCCAAACAGGGCUGACCGGACACUGUUGAUCCAAAUUGAGGUGAGCAAUGUGAUCAGCACUGACCCACGAUCACCGUGCUCACCUCCGGAGGCAUCAGGACAGCCUCAGAUCGCCGGAUAAGCGUGCGCAAACCCAAAAACAGCAGCCAAACAGGCUUGACAGGGUCGACACUGCCGAAACAGCGGAACGGAGUCUCCCCGGCAAAAUCCAAGGUGAGCACGAUGAUCAGAAAUGAGUCACGAUCAUCGUGCUCCCUUCCGUAUUGAUCAGGGAGGCUCGGGAAGCUCAGAACACGAAUCCGUCCUAAACUAAGCCCUAUUUCGGGCUUGGCCGGAGCAAGGUUGCUCCGGCCGGCUUCCGGCAGCACGGCGGCAUGCGCGGCGGCCAGGGACGGGUGCGGGGGAGGUGAGGAGUACCGUGCUCACCUCGGUUGGCGGCUGGAAGCGGCGGCGGCGACGGCCAAUGAUGCCCUAGGCAUCCAAACCCGAAAAGGACACGGCUCGCUCCGGCCGACGAGGAGCUCCAGCGGCGCGGGCGACGACGGCGGACGAGUGCGGCCGACCAGGAGGGACCCGUGCUCACGUCGUUCGACGGCGGAAGGCGGCAGUGGCGGUGCUGGACCAAACCGAGCCCGCGCGGGGAGAGAGGAGCUUGGGUUCGGCUUCUCCGGCGACGGCGACCUCGGAACGGCUCAGGGCGGCGGCGAGCGGUUGUCAGAGGCCGGCGGGAGGCGGCCCGGCCGAGCCUGGACAGCGGCGAUGCGGGGGAGAGAGAUCUGGCCACUCACGGCCAGAUCUCGCUCGGCUGGCCGCAGACCGCAGGAGCGACGGCGGCGGCCACCCUGGCCGGUCGCGGAGGUGCCGGCGGGAGGCCGGAGGGAGGCGGCACGGCCGUCACCAGGUGGCGGCGGCGCGCAGGCCAGCAGCAGCUCGGUCCCGGCCCGAGCUCGGCCAGCAAGGCUGCAGGCUGCCAAGGCAGCAGCGGCUGCGCGCGGGGCCAGUGACGACGGCACGCCGGCAGUCGCCGGAGGUCGGGCAUGGCCAGGGGAGGGGGCCCGAGGGUGAGAACAUUCCUGGGUUGCCCACGUAUAGGAAUGGAGGAGGUUGGUGGGUUAAUUGAGAGGGAAUGAUGGAGGGGGUGGCCGGGUUCGAGUUUUCCGGCGGCCGGGGCACCUGCCGGCGGCCGGGGUGCGCGUAAGGGUUGGGCAGGUGUGCAGAGGUGUCGGCUAGGGCGAAGUUGGGGAUUGGUAACGGCUGGUCUAGGGUUUCCAUGGUGAAAACCUAGCUACCCAAUAUACAUUUUGCAUAAAAUGCGAACUAGUCCCCCAAAAGUCAUUAUUUGCAACCCAGCCCUUCACAGCGUGAGUGAUUUGCGCUAACACACCUCUAUGUUUGAUCUCACGCGAUUCGAUACAUAAAAUGUCGCGCUUUUCGCGGAUUUCCGUUUUGCCACUUUCGACCUCUUAAUAAACUUCAUGCAUUAUCGGACAAUCCGUUCAUCGAAUUUCCGAACGGAUUGCACCAUCGUGUUCAGCACGACGAGGGCAUCAAAACUGCCAUUUUGUUUCGUCAGAUUUGACCUCCGAUUCACGACGAAAUCCGUCCGCUCUCCAAUUUCAAAAACCACACACACAUACCAGUGUGUAAUCCCGCUAAAUCCUUUGAUUCAAAUUCAAAUUUGAAUCUCCUACCACUAGUAGGUAUCUAUAACAUCCCUCACCUUACUCUUGGUCACAUACACAGAUCACGAGGGGUGUCAUAACGCAAGAAUAGCGAAGAACGAAAACCCUCUUUUUGAUAAAACUCCUUUUUCUCGAAAACCAUAUAUCAGAAUCCGAUUCUGUCAGCGCCAAUGGUUCCAGUAUAGUCGAGAGGUUCAAAACGAGCUAUUGGAGUCCUAUAUUCAGAGGUUUGUACGCGCCAGAGGCCAAGUUUGCUUCGUGGCUUCUCCGGAAAACCGGAGUUACUAUUCACUUAAGUCGAACUUCCGGAUCUCAUAACUUCUCCAUUUUAGCUCGGUUUCGCCUGAAAUUUGACGUGUGCUUUUAUAAUUACAUUACACACAGAAACAUUGUCAACAAAGGGUUUAAUUUCUAUUAAAAAAAAAAUGACAGUUAUUACAUCUAACUCGACAUAAACAUUAUAAUUUAAUUGUAUCAAAUAAAAUAUAAGUACUAAUUAAUGAAAAUAGUGCACAACAAUAAAGACAAGUUCAUGGUCAAAAUAUAAAUUAACCAUUACGAAUGUAAUUGCUCUCAUCCAAAUGUAAUCGGACCAAUUGUAUUGAACAAGUCUUUCCAAAAUGUUGGUUGAAUAUUUUCAAGGAAGCGUAACAUAGCCAAUUCAUCCCGACCCAUUCCAAAUAUACUAUGCCAAAAAAAAAACAUAGUAUUAAUUUAGAUAAUACUUUGCAAAAAAAAAUAUAGUAUUAAUUUAGAUAAUAUAAAUGAAAAUAAAAUAUAAUUAUUACAUACCUUAAAAUUAGCAGGUAAGUCAUGAUAAUGCUUUAACUUGUUGUCAAGCAGCCUUACAAAAUCAUACGCCUUAGUCUUGUCAUAUGUAAUAUUUGUUAUUGAAUUAUAAUUAAUAAUUUCAUCGAUCCAAUGACUGGUAGGCCAAUAAAGAUUGUUGUUUAUUCUGCUUCGAUAUGCUUUCCAAUUAUCCCUACUAGUUACCCAAAAAAUAUGUUCUUUUUCUGUCAUCAUCCCAAAAUAUUGUGUGACUGAAAAUAUGAGACCUAUUCAUAUUAUAAUAAUAAUAAAUAAAUUAAUUAUAUAUAUAUAUAUAUAUAUAUAUAUAUAUAUAUAUAUAUAUAUAUAUAUAUAUAUAUAUAUUGAAUAAAAGGAAAGUAUUAAAUAAAAUAUAAUGAAAAGAACUAACCUCCGCGUAAUCUUGUUUUCCAGAAAAAAGAUGUAGUCCUCCACUAUAUCACAAAAAUUAUAAUUGACAAUGUCAUAACUUUCUCUUAUGACAUUUUCAAUACUUUUACAAUCAUCUAGCUUUGACUUGCUGCAUGUGUUGUUUCUGGAGCUUUUUAUGAACAACAAAAUUAAGUGAAUAAACAAAUAUAGUGUAUACUAAGAUAUAAUGUCUAAACUAGUAAGACAAAUUAGUUAUAAAAUAUAUUACCCUUAAACGAAGAAAUUUUCACAUGAUGUCCAGUCGCGCCUUCGCUAACAUAAAUAUUGUCAAACGAAAAAUCAGGAUGACAAACGCCCAUUAAAUGCGCGUAUUCAAGUCCGUCAGAAAUACCACUGAAAACAAAAAUAUUUAAAAGAAAAAAGAAUAUUUUUAGAUUUAAUAAAAAAAUAUUCAUAUAAUAAUUAAUUCAAAUCUUACGGAAAAAUUAACUUGUCGUAUGUCUCGGAUAUACCGUACACGUGGUCUUUUUUAUUGACAAAUAAAUUAUUCUUAUAAUGUUUAAUAUAGUUCUUUAGUUUACAACUAAUGACUUCUGUGAUUACCAAGAAUUUCGCUAUGUGAUAAUUCUCGAACCGAAGUAUGUUUUGAUGGCUUAAAACGUUUCCGAGAUUGUAAGAAUCUACCGUAAUAUGUUUUGUGACUAAAACUUCAAUUGUCUCCUGAAGAUGAUCAUCUUUGUACUGUCCAGUUCUAAAACCAAGAUUUUUUCCGAAUACUUCUCAAGUGCUCUAUCACCGAUAAUUAAUUUAUUUUCAAAGCUAUGCUGUCUCUCGCUCUGCAAAGAAACGGGUUUAAAAUUAUGAAUAUAAUUGACAAAAAAAAGGUUGUUAAUUUUGUAGAUAAAUUACAAAUAUUACAAGAAAAAAAGUUCGAUCUCAAGAGAACUAUAUGCCCAAGUACAACUAUGUAGCAUAGGUUAGUUGUAUCUGAGCACAUAAUUUCUAACAUUGAGGAACUAAAAAUAAAUGUAGAAACUAUGUGCGCAAAACAACAUAGGGCCUCUUUAGCCUAAUUUCUGAAAAAGUGACUUCUGCAUAAGUGAUUUUAGUUUGGAGAUAAAUUAAAUAUUGGCACGUGAAAUUUAAAAUUGCAUUUAUAUCCUUUUGGAUUGUAGACAUAGUAUUUUUUAGCAUAAUGCCAUUAAAAUUUAGAAUCACUUGUAAAAAAGUAUGAAAUAAGACAAAAGAGUAUAGAGCAUAAACAUAUGGAUAUACCGAUACAUAAAGUGCAUGAAUAUACGUCAUCCUUUUUUUAUUUAACAUAUUGUUGUAAUCGUUUUCCUAUCAUUGCAUGAUGUCUUAUAUGUUAUAUCAACCUACGUAGACUGCAAACAUACUAGUUCAUUAUGUAAACAGUGAGAUAUAUCAAAACAUGUGGAUUUUAUUACAGAUAAAAUUACAGAUAAAAGUAUCAAUUGCGUACCUUCUUUCUUGUGGAGCGUAUAGAGCAAAAACAGUUGGAUUUUGUCACAAAUACGUGUGUUAAUGGUUGUUAUUUACACUAAAAAAUUAAAAAAAUCAUACCUGUCUUAUGUGUUCGGCAUAACUUUUACCAGGAUGGUACCUAACAAGAAUUUAAAAAGUCAAAGAGUGAAACUAUUACUUCAGUAACUAUGCUUUUAGUGCUUGCUAUCUUUCUCUGAGGUCGGAAUCCUAAAUAUACUAGGAUUGGGUACAUCUUUGGUUGAGCAUUAUACAUAAUGCAUUAGAGGCUAUUGAGGGUGUAGUACGAUCAAGAGAGAGAGAGUCUCUUGAGUGUGCGUACCAGAGAGAAAAAGAGAGAGAGAGAGAAUAGCCAAGAGUUGAGUGCACCUAGUGCACGGGUGCAUGCGAAUGAUUAUCUUCUUUGGGGUUUUAUAGAAGUCGAGAGAAGGGUAAGAGAGAUUCAAAAAGAAGGCUCGGGUUGUAGCUACUCAGUUGUAGAAGAGGAGUCAGGUGUAAUCUUCUCUUAAUUAAUGAAUCUUACUUUACCCGCAUAUUUUUCUCUUUUAUGAUUGUAUCAGCUUCUGCUGAGGAGACGAGUUUAUGGUAAAAACUCGAUUUGACGCUUCCGUUGCGGAAUCCCAACAAUCGGUACCGGAUCCACAGCAGUCGGUAUUGAAGCAGGUUGCGGAUUCACAAGAUCCGGUACCGGGGCAAGUACCGGAUUCCCAACAAAAACUGUUUCAAGUGUAUAUAUAUGGUGAAUUUUGUCCUAUGUGGGAUAUUUUUAAUUUAUAUAAUAUAAAAUAUUUAAAUAAUAUAUUGUAUCAUAAAAAAAAAUCUUUAAUGCAUAUUUUAGAGUUGAUUUACAGUGCAAGAGGCAUGUUCAAAAUUUUUAUUGGAUCGAUGUGUGAAAAAUUCCCAUUUAUUUAACCUGCUUCUCUUAGAAACCUUUUCUUCAGUAUGACCGAAUCGUCAAUUUAUAUAUUCUAUAGAUUAUGUAGUAAUUACAUUAUUUUAUACAGCCUACAUGAAAAAGAUUGUAGAGAGAUCUAAUAAUAUAAUUUAUAUAAAUCAAUAAAGAAAGAAAAAUACAAUAGUAGGAAGAAAUUAUUUUACGUAUCCGUCUAUGAAUAAAUUUUGUACAAUAAAUGUCUAAAAUUCUAUUAUAAAAAUAUGAAGUCUGUAAUUUUUAUAUAUAGAGUUUUAGUAUUUUGUAGAUCAUAUAUUAAAUUAUAUUUUAAUUUCACAACACUAAUUUUUUUAUUUACUAUCUAAACUUUAUCUUAUAUAAAAAAAACAAAAAAAAAAACUUUUCUCGUUCUCUAUUGCCGUUCUUCAGUUCUUCCUUUCCCAUCCCUAUAAUUUAGAAAAAUCUCUUUAAACACAAGCUUUUUAAACAUAAACUGUUUGAAUUUUUCUAGACCCCAACAUAUUCUAAAAUUCUAUCAUAAAAGUUUAGAUAUUAAUUUUUUUAGACAUUGAUAUUUUAUAUGAUUUAGAUUGACUUUAUCAAACUAGAUUUUAAUUUUAAAAUAUUAAUAAAAUUGAUUAGUAAUAUGCUCGGUUUAUGUAGUUUAUUAGUAGAUUGUACACAUGCAAUAUUUCUCCUAUUUAAUGGAGAUUUGGAAGUUGAGAAUUAGGGGAACAAGUGUGACCAACCAACUCUCUUUCAAUGUGGUAAGAAUAGAAAUGCAUAGUGAAUUUUAUUUUAUUUUUAUAGUAUUUAAUCAUUGAAAAAUAAAAUAAAAUAAAUUUAGUGCAAGUUUGUGCAUUUAGUUGGGCGACACCUGUCUUUGUAUGCUUGUCCCAACUCUACUUUUAUAAUAUGUAAUGUAAUGUAAUGCAAUAUGUAGUGCAGUAAAUGUGAAGUGAAAUGCAACAAGCUGCAAAUUAAUAGUACCAGUUGUCCAUCUUUACCCUCAGUUCUUUAGUUAUCCUGUAAACCAAAAUUUAAAAAUAGUAAUGAGAACUAAAAUAAAAGUUUUGAAUUAUGGCACCACAAAACAAAAGGAUAAAAAAAAGUAUAUUUAUAUGAACGGGUUUAAAUUAGUUCGGAGUCACAGGAAGGGAACCAGAGGUGAGCUCCGUUCCCUGAUGGGCGCCGCGAGUAGGUAGGCACCCAUGUGGCGUGAUUGGUGGACUCUAUCUAAUUGAUUUUCAAAAAAAAAAAAACUCUCUCAACCCAUUAAUAGGGGCAAUGAAUGAGAAAAAGAGAGUGACCGGGAGGGAGGGAGGGGACUAUCCCACAUACAUAGUCUCCAAAGUACAGACAUCACUCGCUCCAGCAAACAAACCAACAUAAGUAUGCACAUGAACCAAAAUACCCCAAAACUACUUGUGGAAGGUACUACUCUAGCACUGCAACCCGGGAAGGGAUCUAGCUCGUGACUCUCUUUCCAUGAUCAGUAUCAGCGACAGCAGCAGCCGCAGAAAAAGGCUCUGCAAAAAGGGGUCAACAACUGGGUGUGAGAACUAGUGCAAAAAGUAGUCCUCAGUGGGUACCGCUAUCGACCUCAACGACUCACCCACUAAGUCUACAGAAAGUAUGCUCAAGGAUAGUAAAGGAAGCUGGAAAAACUCUACAGCUACAUGCCACUAUACUAUCUCUAACUAACACUAGCUAUCUGUAGAUAUAAUCAAGAUGCAAUCUCUGACCUAAUCUCACUAGGGACUGUGAACGCACCCGUCCCGCCUGUCGAAGCUACACCAACCACCACCACGCUGGGUAAUUGGUGAAGAGCAAGUCCACACUGAACACUACGACAUCUACGCAAACGCAUAAAGCACGACUCCGGAGUGGCACUCAUGAGCACUACCCAACCGAGUAUGCAAGCGUAUCUCUGUCGAGCUCAAUCAGGCUCUCACAGGCUAUAAUCAAAGAAAAUGAGUUUAACUGGUGUAACAACCAAAGCUCAUGUGCCCUCGGCACAAUUUGAUGCAAAUACAGAAAUCUGGGUCCACUGUCAACCGCGACAGCACCCGACUGUUUGGAACAGUCUAUACACUACUAUAAAAAUCAACUCGGCUCCUCAGCGCGAGCGUAAACUCAACCUACACUCAUCCGAGCAUCCACCUCGCACUAACAGUGGUGGUACAAAAAUCUGGGUUCACGGUCAAUCCCAAUGGCACCCGACAGUACGAAAUAGUCUACAUACUACUAUAAAAUAAGCUUGGCAUCCCAGUACGAGCGUAAACUCACCCUACACUAAUCUGAUAACUACCGUAUACAAACAGCAGCGAUAGGAACAAACCAUAGCUCCAAAAGCUAAAUCUGGUAAUUUUCAGAAAAUGACAGUGUAGGAUCUAUAGUUUUCUCCUAAGUCAAUUUCAAGUCCAACAUGUAAAAUGAUACAACUAGCUUAACUCCAAAUUCAGAUUUAAAUACUAAUUCAUGAAUUCGAGUACUAGCAAGGAUAACCCAAACAACAAGAAACACAUGUUGACGUUGAUAAAACUUAUAAGGAAAUCCAACGAUUUCGGUACACUUCAACCCACCUCGUAAAGCUAAUCCAACUACGGCGAGAAGUCAAAAGGAGAGGAAUCACGCGCUUGCCCGGCCUCCAACAGUGCAACCGCGACACCCUCAAGCUCGAACGGCUCUCCGACGUAAUGUCGACGUCGAUCAAAGCUCAAGCCGUGGUCUCCACUAAGCUCACGACUCCUACCUAGAGAGAGAGAGGAAAUAGCAACAAGAGGCUCACUCCCUGCCUCUUUACACGUAUAAGAAGCGGUGGGGAUAAGGGUGAUAUAAACGAUGCAUAAAAUGACCAAAAGGCCCCUCACCUACUCAAAAAUCCAGCUGGAGAACCGGUACCUCACUUGAAUUCCGAUACUCGGGCCUUCAGCGCGCAGCUUCGCACACUGGGUACCGGUAUUAUCACGCUCCGAGCCCGCCUAUUUGGUCGGUUUUGGGCACGCCAACAGACCGCCGAACGGACAGGGUUCCUCUGUACCGCGGACAGAGUCUCCCCUGUACGUCCAAGGCGUCACAACCUAUACAAUACGCGUGGUUCCAACCAGGAACAACAUACAAACAAAGAUUGCAUAAGGAAGGUAUCGAAAACAUAAACAACUAAGUUAUUACAUGUAUUCAACUAACAUAUUACUUAUUACAUCACAUAUUGCCAUUCCUUUUUAAUUCUUUGAUUCUUACUUUCAAAUACAAUCAAGUUUCCAACAUAAUUAUUACAACAUUGUUCUUUCCAUUACUAAACCCCUAAGCUAAGCCGACUUAGGGUAUCGCUAUCUCCGGUCUCGGUGGUAGGGCGCUAACUACGGAGCUACGCCCUCACCUCGCUCCGCCGCGCCGCUCACGUGUGAACCUGUACCCCCAAAAAUAAUACGGGGGUGAGAACUGUUGUCCAUAGUUCCCAGUGGGUACGGCCACCCAAGGAAAAAGCUCGACCCACCAGGUCCAAAGGAGGCACUGUAAACAUGUUAGUCCAACAGAUAUCCACAAAUAAUAUUUAUGCAAAUAUUGAAUACAUGUUUAUGCCUCAAGACAUGCAAUAUGUAAAUCAUGCAACUCCUGCAAGUAGAUUAAUUGAUUCUACUCUCUAUCAUUUACCAUUCUUUAUAUUAUUAGCAAUUCUUUAUCACUUACCAUUCUUUACUCUUUAUUCUUAGCCAUACUUUACUCAAUUGUCAUUCUUUUCUAAGAUUACAUUUACCUUAGCCAACUAUGCCACUCAACUCGGUCUUGAGUCAAUUCAUGAUGAAUGCAAGAUUUUAUUGCCCAAUCUCUUGGCUAACCCGUAGGUUUCGCCCUCAACAAACUCACCAACCAAAUCCCUACUAUCGGGGAGAUACCCGCUACAAUCCGACGGGACCAUCAUCUGGGGAGAUACUCGCUACGACUCAGUAAUGACAACUCCGGAGCACAUCGCCCGAGGAAAAGCUACCAUCCUCGAGCAAGGACUUACAGGUAAGUAUGAUCCAAUCCUUAACUAUAAGGAUGUUAAGUUCAAUCUAUUCCUUAACUAUAAGGAAACAAUACACAUAUGACCCUUAACUCUAAGGUUGUUAUGUCAUAAUGUUACAUCACUCUUUUACUUGCAUUCUUUACUUUUAUUAGUGUCAUUUACACUACUUGUUCUUUAUACUCGUUUUCAUGCACUCGUUUUGUUCUCACUAAUGCCACACACACUAAGUGUUCUCUUUCUAGCAUUCUUUAGCAUUGAUUAUAUUCAUUAAUGCCACUCAUACAUUUAUGUCAACAUGUCACUUUGUUUCUAAGUUUUCAUUGUUAUGUCAAAUGCCACAAUGUCACAAUUGCACAUGUAUAUACUUUUUAGCACAUUUCACAACUUUCCAUCAUGCAUACUUUCAUCUAGCAUACUCCACAAUGUCAACAUGUAUANAUGAAUGUUUGGUAUAUGUAUAUAGACAUAUAUUGGAAUAUGAUAAAUGAAUAUGCAUGUUCACAUUGUGGAGUAUGCUAGAUGAAAGUAUGAAUGAUGGAAAGUUGUGAAAUGUGCUAAAAAGUAUAUACAUAUACCAAACAUUCAUAUGCCAUCUAACAUGUUCCAUAAUUUAUCAACAUGCAUAUUACCUCUAACAUAUUCCUCAAUGUAUUAACAUGUUUAUCUCAAUGGUAGGUAAAACAUCAAGCAUAAUAAGGAUCAUGCAUCCAUAUUACCUUAUGCAACCUACCACUAUACAUAUAUGCAUUAAUAAUGAAAUAUUACUUUGCUUCGACAUGGAAGCGAGCUAGACAUUUCGGUGAGCACAACCCACCUCAAAUCGCUUUCUGAUUGCUUGUAGUCACUUGCAAUCGGCCUCCCACGGCACCUGUUGCCCGGUUCGGCCCGAACUCGCAUUCGACCGCCAAACAGCCACCAAUCCGUAAUCCGGAAAUUAAAGGUCUAUAACUUGAUACCACGAUGCUCCGAAUCCAUUCUCGUGAUUUUUGGACGUCGCCUCGGCGUUCCAGACGGAAACGAAGCCGAAACGUCUGUUUCUUUAAUAUCUUCGUACCGGCUAGACGAAUCGCCGAACCGACUUCGCCAACGCGUUCGUAUACCUAACAAUUAGGUUUACGUAGGGUUAAUUUAGAUCAAACCCAAACAUAAAGCAAAACUCUAUUUUUGAGCCCUAAGAUGCCCUAUUGUAAGAAAUCAUCACAUAAUCUCUUAAUUCAUGUAAUAGUCAUCCAUUUAGCAUCUAAGGGUUUCUCUAAAUCCAAUUCUAGAGCAUAUAAUUUAAAUCCUAGAAAUCCACCAUUUUAAACAUUGCCUCUACACAUGCUCCAAAUAACCCAAAUUAAAUGAAUUUAACAUGCCAACAACACAUUAGAGACUACUAGAACACUAAGUAUUAAGGAUUAAGCCAAAUCCCCAAAACUUACCAAAACGUAAACGUCAAGACGGAGGCACGCCGCUCAACCGGGCGCACGAAGGCCCGAUCCGACGCUCCCAACGCGUUCCCAAGCUUGCUUUCCACCAACCCUCAAAUUUGUAGAGAGAGAUCUAGAGAGAUGAUAGAGAUAUUUAGAGAGAGAAAGGGAGGGUUUCUCUCUCGCCCUCUCCAAACGUGUGUGGGCUGGUGGUGUGGCUCGGUUGAGGGAGAAGAAGAAGAAGACCACCUUUUAUACAAAACCCCCUCAACAUUACACUAUUCACAUUAGCAGAUUAGCAGCUUACAAACUGACGUUUUUCGUCGGAGCCCUUCUGAAUGUCCGUUUGCACUCAAAUUUGACAGUCAGGCUUGGUUUUACUUAACAAGUACAAAAAAAUUUUAAUCUUUCAGUUUCGACCAUGUUUGGUCAUCGAAAGCUCUACCGAACUGUAAUCUCUAGCAGAUAGCAGUCGGAUUUUAUUUUUCACCUUCCGAAUGUCAGAAUGACAUGAAACUUUAAAUCUAGCCUCAUAAAAAUAAUUUUGACAUAUUCUCCAAUUUUCAUAAUUUUCUGACACUGCAUUUUCUGCUAAAAUAUCAGUCCCGUUUCCAAUAGAAAAUUCUAAAUCUUCUGUUUCUGUUUCGAUUUUAGCACAAGUCGUUUCUGACUUAUGUUUUACUUCUCUAAAUCUAAUAAAAAUAGUAUCUCACACUAUUUUUAUUUAUCUUUACUUUAAUAUUAAAAUCUGGUAUGUUACAGGUACUCACCCGAUGUAGUACCUGUCACGCCCCGGAUGUCUCGUUCCCAGGGCACGCCGACAGAUCCGCCGUAUACAAAGGAAUUUCCCCUAUAUACGAAGCGACAGCUGUAGCCGUAAAUCCAACACUACUACGAACAGUAGUAGCGAGCUGCUAGAGAAAAACAGAAGCUAAACAAACUGAGUUUCAUAUACAUAGUCCAAAUCUAAAAUACAGAGCUACUCGCACUGGCGAGUUAAGUCUACUAUGUACAUAAACUCGAAACAAAACAUCUACCUGCAGUAGGGGCACCUCUAGCUCAGCACGUCGGGUAGGGCUCUAACUCGCGGCGCCCUUGCCUCGAUCCUGAUCCGCGGAAGGCGCAGUAGCCGAAACCUGUGGCUCUGCAAAACAGGGGUAACAACUGGGAGUGAGAACUACUGUAAAAACAAGUAGUCCUCAGUGGGUGCAGCCCAAACAACAUCGGUCCACCCACUAAGCUACAGAGGGGAGCCAGGAUAGUAGGAAAAGCAGAAAGUAAACACUACCGCUAUCAGUCACUACACUAUCAUGCUCUACACUAACCAACUGUAGGACAUGUCAAAUCUGACCCAAUCCAAUCGGGACUGUAAACAUACCCGUCCCUGGGACUGUGAAUACACCCGUCCCUGCCCAGUUGCGACUAUCCAGCUACCUCCACACUAACUGGUCCGUGGAGAGCAAGUCCAACCGGCAUGAGCGACACCAACGCAAAAGCACAAAGCCUGACUCCGGAGUGGCACUCGUGAGUGCUACCCAACCGAGUAUGCAGCGGAUCUCUGUCGAGCUCAAACAGGCUCUAAAAAGCCAAAGUCAAGAAAUCGACUCUAACUGGUCUAACAACCAACUGGUAACGUGCGUAAUCUUGUUUUCCAGAAAAAAGAUGUAGUCCUCUACUAUAUCACAAAAAUUAUAAUUGACAAUGUCAUAACUUUCUCUUAUGACAUUUUCAAUACUUUUAUAAUCAUCUAGCUUUGACUUACUUGCUGCACGUGUUGUUUUUGAAAAAUCUUUUCUGAACAACAAAAAUUAAGUGAAUAAACAAAUAUAGUGUAUACUAAGAUAUAAUGUCUAAACUAGUAAGACAAAUUAGUUAUAAAAUAUAUUACCUUUGAACGAAAAAAUUUUCACAUGAUGUCCAGUCACUUCCUCGCUAACAUAAAUAUUGUCAAGCGAAAAAUCAGGAUGACAAAUGCCCAUUAAAUGCGCGUAUUCAAGUCCGUCAGAAAUACCACUGAAAACAAAAAUAUUUAAAAGAAAAAAGAUAUUUUUAAAUUUAAUAAACAAAAAAUAUUCAUAUAAUAAUUAAUUCGAAACUUACCGAAGUAUUAAUUUGUUGUAUAUCUCGAAUAUACCGUACACGUGGUCUUUUUUAUUGACAAAUAAAUUAUUCUUAUAAUGUUUAAUAUAGUUCGUUAGUUUACAACUAAUAACUUCUGUGAUUACCGAGAAAUUUGCUGUGUGAUAAUUCUCGAACCGAAGUAUGUUUUGAUGGCUUAAAAUAUUUCCGAGAUUGUAACAAUCCAUCGAAAUAUGUUUUGUGACUAAAACUUCAAUUGUCUCCUGAAGAUGAUCAUCUUUGUACUGUCCAGUUCUAAAACCAAGAUUUUUUUCCGAAUACUUGUCAAGUGCUCUAUCAUCGAUAAUUAAUUUAUUUUCAAAGUCAUGCUGUCUCUCGCUUUGUAAGGAAACGGGUUUAAAAAUAUGAAUAUAAUUGACAACAAAAAAGUUGUUAAUUUUGUAGAUAAAUUACAAAUAUUACAAAAAAAAAAAUUCAAUCUCAAGAGAACUAUAAUCCCAAAUACAACUAUGUAGCAUAGGUUAGUUGUAUCUGGGCACAUAGUUUCUAACAUUGAGGAACUAAAAAUAAAUGUAGAAACUACGUGCUACAACAUAGGGCCUCCUUAGCCUAAUUUCUGGAAAAGUGAUUCCUACAGAAGUGAUUUUAGUUUGGAGAUAAAUUAAAUAUUGGCACGUGAAAUUUAAAAUUGCAUUUAUACCCUUUUGGAUUGUAGACCUAGUAUUUUUUAGUAUAAUGCCAUUAUAUUUUAAAAUCACUUAUAAAAAAGUAUAAAAUAAGACAAAAGAGUAUAGAGCAUAAACAUAUGGAUAUACCGAUACAUCAAGUGCAUGAAUAUACGUCAUCUUUUUUUUGUUUAGCAUAUUAUUGUAAUCGUUUUCCUAUUAUUGCAUGAUGUCUUAUAUGUUAUAUUAACCUACGUAGACUGUAAACAUACUAGUUCAUUAUGUAAACAAUGAGAUAUAUCAAAACAUGUGAAUUUUAUUACAGAUAAAAUUGCAGAUAAAAGUGUCAAUUGCAUACCUUCUUUGUUGUGCAGUGUAUAGAGCAAAAACAGUUGAAUUUUAUCACAAAUACGCGUGUUAAUGGUUGUUAUUUACACUAAAAAAUUAAAAAAAUCGUACCUAUCUUAUGUGCUCGGCAUAACUUUUACCAGGAUGGUACCUAACAAGAAAUUUAAAAAGUCAAAGAGUGAAACUAUUACUUCAGUAACUAUACUUCACUAUACAUACAUAGUCUCCAAAAUACAGAUAUCGCUCGCUCCAGCGAGCAAACCAACAUAAGUAUGUACAUGAACCAAAAUACCCCAAAACUACCUUUGGGAAGUACUCCUCUAGCACUGCAACCCGGGAAGGAAUCUAGCUCGCGACUCCCUUUCCACGAUCAGUAUCAGCGACAGCAGCAGCCACAGAAAAAGACUCUACAAAAAAGGGUCAAUAACUGGGUGUGAGAACUAUUGCAAAAAGUAGUUCUCAGUGAGUACCGCUACCAACCUCAACGACUUGCCCACUAAGUCUACAGAAAGUAUGCUCAAGAAUAGUAAAGGAAGCUGAAAAAACUCUACAGCUACAUGUCACUGUACUAUCUCUAGCCAACACUAGCUAUCUGUAGAUAUAAGCAAGACGCAAUCUCUAUUUCACUAGGGACUGUGAACGCACCUGUCCCGCCUGUCGAAUCUAGACCAACCACCACCACGCUGGGUAAUUGGAGAAGAGCAAGUCCACACUGGACACGACAUCUAUGCAAACGCUCAAAGCCCGACUCCGGAGUGGCACUCGUGGGCGCUACCCAACCAAGUAUGCAAGCAUGUCUCUGUCGAGCUCAAUCAAGCUCUCACAGGCUAUAAUCAAAGAAAAUGGGUUUAACUGGUGUAACAACCAAAGCUCACGUGCCCUCGGCAUAAUCUGAUGCAAAUACAGAAAUCUGGGUCCACCGUCAACCACGACAGGACCCGACAGUCUGGAACAGUCUACGCACUGCUAUAAAAAUCAACUCAGCUCCUCAGCGCAAGCAUAAACUCAACCUACACUCAUUAGAGCAUCCACCUCGUACUAGCAGCAGCGGUACAAAAAUCUGGGUUCACCGUCAAUCCCAAUGGCACCCGACAGUACGAAACAGUUUACACACUACUGUAAAAUAAGCUCGGCAUCCCAGUACGAGCGUAAACUCACCUUACACUAAUCUGGGUAAUUACCGUAUGCAAACAGCAGCGAUAGGAACAACCACAGCUCCAAAAACUAAAUCUGGUAAUUUUCAGAAAAUGACAGUAUAGGAUUUAUAGUUUUCUCCUAAGUCAAUUUCAAGUCCAACAUAUAAAAUGAUACAACUAGCUUAACUCCAAAUUCAGAUUUAAAUACUAAUCCAUAAAUUCGAGUACUAGCAAGGAUAACCAAAACAACAAGAAACACAUGUUGACGUUGAUAAAACUUAGAAGGAAAUCCGACGAUUUCUGUACACUUCAACUCUACCUCGUAAAGCUAAUUCAACUACGACGAGAAGUCGAAAGGAGAUGAAUCACGCGCUCACCCGGCCUCCAACGACGCAGCCGUGACGCCCUCACGCUCGAACGGCUCUCCGGCGUAACGUCGACGUCGAUCCGAGCUCAAGCCGUGGCCUCUACCAAGCUCACGACUCCCACUUAGAGAGAGAGAGGAAAUAGCAACCAGAGGCUCACUCCCUGCCUCUCUACACGUAUAAGAAGCGGUAGAGAUAAGGGUGAUAUAAAUGAUGCAUCAAAUGACCAAAAGGCCCCUCACCUACUCAAAAAUUCAACUGGAGUACCGGUACCUCACUUGAAUAUCGGCACUGGGGCCUUCAGCCCGCAGCUUCGUACACUGGGUACCGGUACUCACCCGAUGCAGUACCGAUACUCGGGCUCGGUACCGAUACUCGCCCAAUGCAGUACCGGUACUCAGCAUCAGAUUGGCACAACCCGAGAGCAGACUGUUCAGGAAAUACACCGGCGUACCGGUACUCCCCUAUCUUACCGGUACUCAACACUAAAAACCUGCACUUUGCGAAUUCCAAUGUUAAAACUCUGCUCUAGCGUCACACUAAGUCCGUUUUGCCUCUAUUUCGUGUCAAAACGACUCCGACUUGUCCCGACACUCUCCAGAUAUGUCGACAAGCCUCAGAUGCUGAAAUCACUCGGGCAACCAAACACCAUGAAUACUACAUCAUCCCCCACUGCAAAAAGUUUCGUUUUCGAAACUUAAUCACAUAUCUCAAUCCUAAACCUCAAACAAGUAAGGGUAGGACUACCGUAUCACCGUCUCCGACUCCCACGUCGUCUCACGCUCCUCAUGAUGACUCCACUACACUUUUACAUAAGGGAUGGCCCGGUUGCGUAAUUCCUUCGACUCACGACCAAGAAUUCGCACCGGUCGCUCCUCAUAUCUCAAGUCCUCACCAAGCUCCAGUGGAGUGAAGUCGAUAACGUGUGAGGGGUCAAACACGUAUCUCUUCAAUUUUGAGAUGUGAAAAACAUCACGAACACCAGCCAGUCGUAGGGGUAAAGCAAUCAGGUAGGCUACCGGUCCCACUCGCUCCAAUACCUCGAAAGAGCCUAUAAAGUGUGGACUGAGCUUUCCACGUACUCCGAAUCUGCGUAUCCCUCGGGACGGCAAAACUUUAAAAAACCUAUGAUCUCCAACCUGGAACUCUAAGUCUCGUCUUCUGAUAUCGACGUAGCUCCUCUGUCGACUAUGGGUUGUCAAAAUGCGUCGUCAUACAACCUUGACCUUCUCCUCUAUCUCUAUCAGAAUCUUAGGCCCCAGAGUCUUCUUUUCACCCACAUCACUCCAAUGCAAAGGGGAUCGACACCUGCGUCUAUACAAUGCCUCAAAUGGAGCCAUCUGAAUGCUCGUUUGAUAGCUGUUGUUGUACGUAAACUCAACCAGCCUCAAAUAUCGAUACUACCCUCCUCCAAAGUCCAAGACACAAGCUCUCAGCAUGUCCUCUGGAGUCCGAAUGGUCCGCUAUGACUAACCAUCUGUCUGUGGGUGAAACACUGUGCUGAAAUGUAGCUGUGUACUCAAGGCCGUCUGAAAACUCCUCCAAAAAUGCGAGAGAAAUCUCGGAUCUCAAUCCGAUACUACCGAGGUAGGCACACCAUGCAAUCUGACAAUCUCAUCCAAGUAUAACUAAGCGAGUCUCUCUCUGGACCAGGUGAACUGUACUGGUAGAAAAUGAGCAGACUUAAUCAGUCUGUCCACUAUCACCCAAAUCGCAUCAAAGCCACCAUGUGCUCUCGGUAAACCCACGACAAAGUCCAUCAUAAUCUGCUCCCAUUUUCACUCGGGCACUGGCAGAUUCUGAAGCUUGUCAGCAGGUACCUGAUGCUCAGCUUUCACCUGUUGGCAAGUCAGACAUUGAGCCACAUAUCUACGAAUGUCCCGCUUUAUUCCAUUCACCAAAAGUGCCUUUAAGUCCUUAUACAUCUUGGUUCCACCAGGAUGAACCGUAUAAGAUGAGUAAUGAGCCUCUCUCAAAAUCUCCUUUCUGAUAUCUAAAUUCAUAAGCACACACAGCCGGUCCCUAUUAUUACAUGAUGUCUUAUAUAUAUGUCAUCUCUUUUUGAUUUAGCAUAUUGUUGUAAUCGUUUUUCUAUUAUUGCAUGAUGUCUUAUCUGUUUUAUCAACCUACGUAGACUGCAAACAUACUAGUUCAUUAUGUAAACAGUGAGAUAUAUCAAAACAUGUGGAUUUUAUUAUAGAUAAAAUUAUAGAUAAAAGUGUCAAUUGCGUACCUUCUUUGUUAUGGAGCGUAUAGAGCAAAAACAGUUGAAUUUUGUCACAAAUACGCGUGUUAAUGGUUGUUAUUUACACUAAAAAUUAAAAAAAUCAUACCUGUCUUAUGAGCUCGGCAUAACUUUUACCAGGAUGGUACCUAACAAGAAAUUUAAAAAGUCAAAGAGUGAAAUUAUUACUUCAGUAACUAUGCUUUUAAUCAGUGCUUGCUAUCUUUCUCUAAAAACUGCUUCAAGUGUAUAUGAUGAAUUUUGUCCUAUAUGGGAUAUUUUGAAUUUAUAUAAUAUAAAAUAUUUAAUUUAAAUAAUAUAUUGUACUAUAAAAAUUUAUUUUUAAUGCAUAUUUUAGAGUCGAUUUAUGGUGCAAUAGGCAAGCUCAAAAUUUUUAUUGAAUCGAUGUGUGAAAAAUUCCCCUUUAUUUAACCUGUUUCUCUUAGAAACCUUUUCUUCAGUAGGACCGAAUCAUCAAUUUAUAUACUCUAUAGAUUAUAUAGUAAUUACGUUAUUAAUUACAUUAUUUUAUAGAGCCUAUAUGAAAAAGAUUGUAGAGAGAUCUAAAAUAUAAUUUAUAUAAAUCAAUAAAGAAAGAAAAAUAAAAUAGUAGGAAGAAAUUAUUUUAUGUAUCGAUCUAUGAAUAAAUUUUGUACUGUAGUGUCCCUGGAGUUUUGCAGCAUGUGUGAUCUCAGCAUCUGAGACUUGUCGACACGUCUAGAGAGUGUCGAAACAAAUUGGAGUUGUUUCGGCGCGAAAUGGACACAAAACCGACUCAACACGACGCGAGAGUGGAGUUCUGACACUGAAAUCUGUAAAAUACAGGAUUUCAGUGUUCAGUACCGGUACCCUAGUAGAUUGCAGAAUUGGAUGCUCUCGGGUUUGCGCGUAUUUGAUGCUGAAUAUCAGUACCAACUUGUCGAGUACCGGUAUGGAGCUCGGGUACCGGUACUGCAUCGGGCUGGUACCGGUACGGAGCGUGCGAGACUGCGGGCUGAGGGCCCGAGUACCGGUAUUCAAGCUGAGUACCGGUACUCCAGCUGGAAAAGUAAGUUGGUGAGGGGCAUUUUGGUCCUUUGAUGUGUCGUUCAACCCAACGUUACCCAGCUUGUACAUAUGCAUGUAGGGUGUUAGAGAGAAGGGAAUUCUUCUCAUUUCCCUCUCUCUCUCUAGCUAAGCUUGUACAUAUGCAUGUAGGGUGUUAGAGAGAAGGGAAUUCUUCUCAUUUCCCUCUCUCUCUCUAGCUAGUGGAUUCGCACGUUGUGGAGGUCGCGGCUCGAGCUCGGGUGGAUUCCGACGUUUCCCUGGAGGGCUGUUCGAGAGCGUGGAGGUCGCGGUUGCACCGUUGGAGGCCGGACGAGCGUGUGGAUUCCCUUCUAUCGAUUUCUAGCCGACAUUGGAAGUGCGAUCGAGGUAGGUUGAUGUUUACCGAAAUCGUCGGAUUUCCUCCUAAGUCGAGUAUUUGUCAGCAUGUAUGUUUUAUGCGUAGCAUCAUGUUAGUAGCUCAAUUCAUCGAUUUGCAUAUUUUUUAUGAAAUCUGGAUUGGAGCCUUAAAUUUUAGAAUCGUUUUACAUGUUGGACUUGAAAUUGACUUAGGAGAAAACCAAUAACCUACACUGUCAUCUUUUCUGAAGAAUUAUCAGAUUUAGCUCUAGGAGCUGUUUUCAUUUUGUAUCACCGCUGUUAGUGCGAGGUGGAUACCCAGAUUAAUGUCAGUUGAGUUUUCGCUGCUGGGAGGCCGAGUUCGUUUUACAGUAGUGUGUAGACUAUUCCGUACUGUUGGACGCUGUCGUGGUUGACGGUGGACCCAUAUUUAUGUAUCUUGCAGCGGAUUGUGCUAAGGGCACAUGAGCUUUGGUUGUUAGACCAGUUAGACCCAUUUGCAUUGACUACAACCUGUGAGAGGUAGAUUGAGCUCAACAGAGAUUCGCUUGCAUACUCGGUUGGAUCGCGUCCACGAGUGCCACUCCGGAGUCUGGCUACCUUGCUUUGCGUUGAUGUCAUAGUAGUCCGGUUUGGACCUUGCUCUCCGUCGGCCGCCCUUGGGGUGGUGUCCGGUGUAGCUUCGACAGGCGGGACGGGUGUAUCACAGUCCCUAGUGAGGUUGGGUCAAUGGGAUGCAUUUCCAUAUCUAUAGAUUGGAUCAGCAUGCUAAAGACCCAAUCACGAUGAAAUACGUCACCUGACCCCAAGGUCAAAAUCUGUGGAAGUGAACACCGACCGCCUAGGUCAAUCUCAUGGAGUAACACUCCAACAAUAAAAUCAAGUCUCAUCGAAGAUAAUUCAACUGAUCAACAUGAUCAUAUCUCAACAAGGAGUAUACACCGAUCCAUCAAAUCCAAUCACACAUAGGUGGAUAUUCUACUAGAUCAUCACUUACUCUACAUGUCAUACACGAGAUACAAGAAAGCUCAAUCAAGAGUCUACAAAUCUAUAUGAUAAUCAACAAGACAAUCAAUAUGUAGAGUAAAAUUAUGGACCAAUGUGAAGUCAAAAGAAGUUGUCCUACUCAAUUAAUAAAAUAGAUCAAGCGGGAAAAACACCGAGUAAGAUACAACUUUACCAACUUCGGAAUGGAGCACCCACCUCACCAAGUACCCGAGUCCUCGACUCAAAACGAUAGUUCUAGAAGUCACCUGUACAUAGAAAAUAUCAACACGAUCAUCAUCAACAUCCUGCGUGUCAUCUAUACUAACCUGACACAUUCCACCUAUACUUGCGUGUAUCGCAAAUGACCGGAUCAUUAGUUCCAUAACCGGCAUACAUAACUAAGCCCAAGCCAAGCCGACUCAACAAGGAGUCACCACGUCACAACCACAAUCUCAAGAUUUACCGGUUUAGGUGAUGAGAUGACCGCACACACUAGGUGCUCGAUAAACCGAACGACAACCGUCAUACAAGGCUACAACCGAACCUAUAUGUGUCGUUCCGAUUAUCCGAACACCACUUUGGUGUCGCACCAUGUACACAUGGUACAUUUGGCCCGAUGAUGCUCGCAAUAUUGCAACAUCACCAAUUGGUGACAUAAGGUCACCCACAAUGUGCCACGACACAAGCGGAACAUCAGACAUUCCUACCGUUCUCCCGAACCCACCGAUUUUUGUAAAAACCCAUCGGGAUGCCACUUUGGUCAAGAAGCAUUCCGAGUCACAACAAGACAUAUUUAACUCGUAUCCGCUGUCCCCAAACGCCUUAUUUUAGGUGUUGGGACAGCCGCAAAAGAAACACACUGAAAACGGGAGCCGUAGCUCCAAAAGUGACCAAAAUGGGUCCGACGAUACCUAUUUCAGUAUUCGAACCACCCACAACUCACUUGCUGCCACGAGGGGCACAAAACACAAAGAUAUAUCAGCCCAAACACCUUGGACAGCAAAAGCUCCAACACCCAAGUGACCGGAACCGAAACGAGCAAUAAUAAGCUUUAGUUAGUGUCGAUUCGCACCAAAUCAGUCACGGGAAGUUUCUAAGCCUCGAACACUAAGUCCAAACACCAAAUUCCAUCAAACACCGCUGCCCAACACCACCCACAAUGCACAAAGCAUCUAAGAGUCCAAGUCGCCCCAACAUUACACAUUACGCAUCAUUAUAAUACAAAAGAUGGGGUUUCAAGUGUUUUACUAGAUUGGAGCUAAGCGAGUAUAGUCGAAUGGCACACGGGGGUCGAAGACGCACCUCUGGCUGCAGUGAACCAGCAAGGGAGUCACUUUGACAAUUGCCGUCCGUCGGAGAGCAAAGAAUAGGCCGCAACCGAGCCGAUUUGAGUCCCCGAUAGCUUCGCGAUUCCACCGAUCUUCCGAAUCACUCUACCAAGGUGAGCACUACGUAGAAAUUUUCCUCACGAUCGCUACGCUCCAAAGAACUCCAAUUUUCGACCACCGAAUUGCUCGGAAAAGGCAAAACAACCAACAGUCAAUUUAUCGAACACUUGGCGGGUGCAAUUGAAAACAGGGAUUCGAGACAUCAAUACCUGAAAUUUAGGAGAGCACGGACUAGGGCCUAUGUUCAGAAGUGCUGUGCUCACCCGCGGAGGGUCGCCGGAGGCGCCGGAUGGCUGGAACAGUGAGUCGACCAAGCUAAACACCCCAGAUUACAACUAUGGCAGCAGCAGCCACCAAGGUUGGGGAGUUUCAGGCUGAUCCGAACGGGAUAAAGGGGGAGGAAGAGGUUGGUCUAGGAGAGGGGGAGCCAGGGCUCGCACCAGCCGGCGGCGAGGUGCCGGAGAGGUGGCUGCGACAACCCAG